rnacentral:lncRNA from 1 species
ACAUGCUUGGAAGGGAGGCUGGGGGUCGAGUUUCAAAGACAUCAACCGUUCUAGCUCAGGCUUGGAAGGAAGACACAGACGCAGGGAACUUGUUAGCAUCAUUAUUUGAACUUUUUGGUGAAAGUAUGUUAUCAUUUACUCCCAAACCUGAGCUUUCAUUCUUCCUUUGAUUGAAUUUCACCUCCAAAAGCUAUAGUUUUUGAAGGAAUUUGUGUAAAUUAUCCCCAUAGUUUUUUUCAGUCUUACUGUGUUUAUCUUUAUAAGUCUUCUUUUUUUCCUUGCUCAUAAAUGUAUUGUAGUUAUCAGAAAAUAUAUUCUACUUUGGAUUUUGUUUAUAUUAAAUUUUAGGUUAAAUUCUGCUAUUAGUCUCUGUAUUUACGAAAAUGAUGGAUUUAGUCCUUAUACCUUAAUUUGAUCAAUUUUAGUCAUUGUAUUUUUUGAAUUGGUCAAUUUUAAACUAUUUACUUUUUGAAGUUUGAAAUUUUAGUCUUGAUCCAAAUAAUAAUAAUAAUUAAAUCUGCUUAUUUAAAUUCAAUUAUUAGUUUUGUAUUAUGUAGAUAGUUAUAAAUUUAGGGUGGGUUUGGAUGGGCUGUGCUUUUACCUGCAGUUAGUGUAAAAAUAGCGGCGGUGGUGAGAUUAGAUAUCCAAGGUACCUAAUUUUUAUUUUGGCCAUAAGUACUACUAAAACUAUUCUUCCGUUACCCAUUUUAUACCAAAAUGUUAUAUCGGCUAAAAAGAUUCCAACAAAUAAUAGAUUGUAUGUCAUAUAAACUUUUUUAAAAAAUCAUUAAUUAAUUAAUUUUUAUAUUUUUCUUUCUUAUUCCUUUAUAAUGUUUGACAAUGUCGAUAAUGCUUGAAAUUGGCCCACUUGAGGUCGAAACGCUGGUGAUUAAUUUUGGUUUUGAAUUUCACCACCUACUUCUCUGACCAGAGGGGAUAGAAAAAGUUCUUUCAUCGAUCAAAACUAGUAUUUUCAAAAACAGACUGAUUCUACGGGUUGGAUAGGAAAUCGGUUUGGAAAUAGGGGUUGAAUCGAUUGACUUGCGAGCAAAAACAAAUCGGUUGAACUAAGCUAAAAAAACUGGUUGAAUAAGUUCUCUCUUUUUAUAUAUAUAUAAAUAAUAAUAGGCUUUGUUUUUACUACAUGUCAAUUUUUAAUUGGUUAAUUUUUUUUUCAUAUAAAUUGAACAAUUUGACUAAUGACGGAGGUACCAAAUUAUAGUCUAGGUACCAAUUUAUGGGUUAAGCCUAUUUAUAAAAUAGACUUUUGACAGUUUGACUAAUGGCGGUAGUAACUUGGGAAAAAAAAGUAGUUUAUGUACCACUUGUGACAAAAAAUAAGAUUAGGUACCAACAUGGGAAAAUGAGUAUAAUUUAGAUACCGAUUUAUGAGUUAAGCCUAAUAUAUUUGUCGCAUAAUUUUUUGAAAAUAACAGAACUUAAUAAAUUUAACGGUUAUUGUUUGGUGAUUACUAAAAUUUUAAAAUUUGAAAAGUACAUGAACUAAAAAUGACCAAAUUAAAAUAUAAAUAUUAAGUCCACAACUUUUGCAAAGUACAAGGACUAAUUGCAGAAAUUAACCUAAAUUUCAUAUGGGUCAAUUACAAAAAUAAUCACUAAACUAUCCCUUUGGUUCUAUUCUAGUCACUCAACUAUAUAGGUGCUCAUGAGCUUGGCCAGGUCAGGCCUAAGUAAGGGUGAGCAUUCGAUUGAAUCGAAAAUAGGGUUUGGGAUAGAUGGGAGGGGAAUAAAAGUUUUAGGGGAAAAGUGGGAGGGAGUAAAAAUUUUGGGAGAAAAUAAAAGGUUUUGAGGGUUUUGGGGAGUAAAAUAUUGAGAAAAAAUAAAUAGGAGAGUAAAAUUUUGGUGGGAAAUGGAUUUUGGGUAGAUUGGGGGGUUGGGAGGGGAGGGGAGUAAAAGUUUUGGGGGGAAAGUGGGAAGGAGUAAAAGUUUUGAGGGAAAAGUAAAAAAGUUUGGGAGUUUGGGGUAAAAAUGUAAAAUAUUAUAGUUUGAUAUUCGAAUUAUUCGAAUUAUUCGAGUUAUUCGAAUUCGAAAACUCAACUCGAUUCGAACUCGAAAUUCGAAAAAAAAUUCGAGUUGAUUCGAAUAACUCGAUUCGUUUAACUCGAAAUUUGAAUUUUUUUCAAUUUUUUCGAGUCGAAUCGAGUUUUGCUCACCCCUAGUUGCAAGUGCAACUUGCGUGGUGGCUGCCAGAAGGACUGAAUCGUAAAUGUAGCAAAAGUUUUGGGGCAAAAAUGUAAUUUUGAGAAAGUUUAGGGUCAAAAUAUAAUUUUAAAAAAUAUUAAGGGUUAAAAUAUAAUUUUAUAAAAAUUUAAGGGUCAAAAUGAAAUUUUAGAAAAGUUCAGAGGUCAAAAUACAAUUUUUAAAUUUUUUUUAAAAAAAAAAACACGAAAUUAUUCCCACAAAAUUAAGUGAUUACACGUAACUUUUCAAUGUAAAAGAAAAAAAAGACUGUAACACCAAUGUUGUGGUGUUAUUUGUUGCCUAUAAAUACCAUUCCUAUUCUUCAUCUUCCUCUGCAAACAUAACAUGGCCCCCUAUCUCUUUCUCUGCCUAUUCCUCUUCUUUCCCCGUCUUUAUGCUUCUUUUUCUUCUUCAGGAUAUCAGUCCUGCUCUUCAUUAAUCCAGUUUAAGGACUCUUUUUCCAUAACAGAGGAUGCUUCUUCUGAUUGCAAUGAGAUUGCUGGCCUUAAAUCUUAUCCCAAGACAAAUUCAUGGAAGGAGGGUACAGAUUGCUGCUCAUGGGAUGGGGUCACUUGUGACCACCUAAAUGCUCAUGUUAUUGCCCUUGACUUGAGCUGCAGUUGGCUAUAUGGCAACUUCCCUUCCAAUACCACUCUCUUCCUUCUUCCUCACCUUCAAAAACUCAACCUUGCCUACAAUGAUUUUAAUCUUUCCAAAAUUCCAUCCGAGUUCGGUCGGUUUACAAGCCUAUUCUACCUCAACCUUUCCCAUACAGAGUUUGAAGGAGAAGUCCCAUCCCAAGUCUCCCACCUGUCAAAAUUGGUUUCACUUGAUCUCUCCUCUCGGAUUGAUUACUCUGGGCAAGUUACAAUUGACAAACAUGCUCUGGAGGGACUUGUUCACAACCUAACCGAGGUCAGACAUCUGUUUUUGGAUGGAAUGGACAUGUCUUCUGUUAAUGCUCAUGUCUUCAUGAAUCUAUCCUCUUCUCUAAGGUCUCUCAGUCUUGCUUAUUGUGAUUUGCAAGGAAAAUUCCUAAAAAACAUUAUUGAUUUGCCAAACCUCAAUCUCCUCAACUUGGGACGUAACCAAAACCUCAAUCUUGAUCCUUUGAAGUUCAAUCGGAGCAGCAAUCUCGAACAUUUGGAUCUGUCGUGGAUGUCCUUCUCUACAGAAUCCGUUAAUUCAGUUGAUAAUCUACAGGCCUUAAAGUACUUAGAUCUAUCAGGAAAUUCUUUCUUUCAAGGAUUGUCUGUCUCAAUCACAAAUUUAUCAUCUUUGGAGCAAUUGAUAAUUUCAGGCGCAAAUUUUUUUGGAGGAUUGCCUGACUCGAUGGGGAAUCUUGUGUCCUUGAAGUUUUUAUUUCUCUCCGAUUCCAACUUUUCAGGACCGCUUCCAAGAUCACUGGGAAACCUCUUUCAACUCAAGUGUUUAGACUUGAGAUCAAACAAAUUGAGUGGACAAAUUCCAUUGUCAAUUCUAAACCUAACGCAGUUGGAAUACUUGGAAAUAUCUGAAAAUUCUUUAGAAGGUUCCAUUCCAGAUGAGGUAACCGCUUUUCCUAAUCUAAUAUAUUUAUACUUAUCUGACAAUUUACUCAGUGGAACACUUCCGUCAUGGUUGUAUACUGCUCCCUCAUUAGACAGUAUAGGUCUCUCUCAAAAUCAAUUCAGUGGGCAUAUCAAAGAAUUCCAAUCCAAAUCACUAGAAUUGAUAGCGUUAGAGAGUAAUAAACUCCAAGGUCCUCUUCCAUCUUCAAAAUUCCAACUUCUCAAUCUUACCCACCUCUCUUUAUCCUCAAGUAAUCUCAGUGGUGUCAUAGAGUUUCGCAUGUUCUCAAACCUUCCAAAUCUAAAACUUCUUGACCUUUCAUACAACAGCCUAUCCUUAGCAUCUAAUACUACUUCUUGUGUUAACCAUAUAUUGCCUAAUCUUACAGACUUACGUUUGUCAUCUUGCAAUCUUAGUGAAUUCCCCCAAUUUUUGAAAGGGCUUAAAAGUUUGAAAAGGUUAGACCUCUCUUGCAACAAAAUUGAAGGCAAGAUUCCACAGUGGAUGCAAGAGGUGGGGAAUGGCUCUUUGACUUACUUAAACGUAUCUCACAACUAUUUGACAGAAGUUGAGCACUUUCCACGGAAGAAUAUUGAAGUUCUUGACUUAAGCUCCAAUUUGAUCAGUGGAAAUCUUCCGAUUCCAGCUUCGACCAUCAAUGUCUUUUUGAUCUCAAAUAAUAGUUUCAAUGGAGAGGUCUCUUCUUUAAUAUGCAAUGCCAGUUAUCUUAAAAUUCUUGAUUUGUCCCACAAUAACUUGAGUGGAACAAUUCCGCAAUGUUUUGGAAAUUUGAGCAACAGCCUUCAAUUCUUGAAUCUGAAGAAGAACAAGUUCUAUGGGACGAUUCCUCCAACAUUUGCAGAGGGAUGCCAAUUGACUAAUUUCAACAUAAAUGGAAAUCUGUUAGAAGGGCCUUUGACACCAUCCAUCCUUAAUUGUAAUGAACUGGAAGUGCUAGAUCUUGGUAACAACAAGAUCAAUGAUACAUUUCCUCAUUGGUUGGGCAGUCUUCCAUUUUUGCAAGUUCUUGUAUUGAAGUCAAAUCAUAUGCAUGGUUCCUUGCGUGUCAAUAGCUCCAAGUCUAGCCCUUUUUUCUCUAAAAUCCAAAUUUUUGAUCUCUCGAGUAAUUAUUUUUCUGGACCUCUACCUGUGAGAUACAUCAACAGCUUCAAGGCUAUCAUAAAUCUAGAUAAGAUUGGGAGUACAAUGUCGUACAUGGGGGUGUAUGCUCAGAGAGGUAGUGGCUUCUAUACCUAUUCCAUUGGAAUUGUUAUGAAAGGACAAGAUAUGGAAUUGGUGAAAAUUUUCACCAUGUGGAUGAUCAUUGAUCUAUCAAACAAUCAGUUUGAAGGGUGUAUUCCAGAGGUUUUUGGGAAGCUUAACUUACUGAAAGGGCUCAACCUUUCUCAUAACAACCUUCAUGGUGGUAUCCCCACCUCAAUAGGGAAUUUGACAAGUCUUGAAUGGUUGGACCUAUCUUCAAACAGGUUGUCUGGGACGAUUCCAAAUAGAUUGGCAGAUCUGGCAUUUCUUUCGUCCUUCAAUGUUUCUGAUAAUCAGCUCCAUGGUCAGAUUCCUCAAGGCAAACAGUUCAACACAUUUGGAAAUGAUUCAUAUGAAGGAAACAAGGGAUUAUGUGGAUUUCCAGUCUCGAAAGGUUGCAACAUCAUUGAGCCACCACCUCCAAAUGUGCUUGAAAAAGAUGGCUCAAAAUCAAACAUUACUUUUGGUUGGAAAGUGGUGUUGAUAGGUUAUGGAUGCGGAGUGGUGUUGGGAAUGUCCGUGGGAUAUGUUGUUUUCCAAACUGGUAAGCCGAAAUGGUUGGUGAAUUUGGUUGAAAUCCAACAUGAGAAGAAGCAAAGACGAAAGUCAAAGAAAGGCAAUCGAAGCAAUAGACGAAGAAGGAUCUAAGUACAGCAAAUGAUGUUCAAGAAUUAGUGUUGUAUUUUCAAAAUUUCUUGUUCUGUAGACCGUUUUGCCCAUGGUGAAGGGUUGCAUUGGUAUGUGUAUGUCUUUAUUAUUGUACCAAUUCCUGUCUUUCAUUGCAUUUCGUACUAUCUGUAAUGGUUUGUUUGAGUGUAACAUUUUGUAUGGUAUUGUUGUUUAUGUCUUCUUUCAUGACUUUCCAUUUAGUCUCGAUAAUCUUUGCUACUGCUCAGUAAAGGAGGAAGGAGAAUAAAAUGUCUCAAUUUAUGUCAAUUUAUGCUUGCAGAUUUGACGUGGAAUGUUGUUGAACUGAAGGUUGUUUAACUUUUGUCUUCUAAGCUAUACAUGAACAUAUGGGAUGUGACAAAUAUUAUUUUAGCUUUUGCUUAUGAAAUGUUGAAAUAGUGAGUUUAUAUUCCUUGAUUAAUAAAAAGUGAGAUGGAGAUAGUCAAACCUCAAUUUCCACAUUGAAAUUGAAUCCAAACAUUAAUUGGUGGAUCACAUGUCUUGUAUUCUGUCAAGUUAAAGGGAGUGAAUAGAGCACCAUUCUUCUUCUGCGUGGAAAAUAAGUUGGCGUUAUGCCAAUUUUCACAUUCAUACAUAUAAAGGAAGCAAGACCAAGUCAAUAUACUUUGUAAUCUCAUCAUUUCUUCUUCAUUCUUUAGGGAGUUCAAAUGAAAUACAAAUUUUUGGUAAAUCAACUCUUCUUUUUUAUGAAUAAAAAUUAUAUGGUAAAAAGGAAGUGGUGUUAAUAAUAAUAAUAAUAAUAAUAAUAACAACAACAAUACAAAACUAAUAAAGCAAUUUAGUCUAUGAUUUGCACAAUGAUUAAUGUAGCGACCUAAAAAUUUAGGCACGAGCGCUAAUUGAAGUGAUUAUUGAAAAUUUGAAAACAGAAUCUCGAUUUUAUUUGAAAAAGGAGUCGCUAUCGAUCUUUUUUUCUAGGUGUGAUCGGACACCUAAUAAAUUCUCUUUUUAGAAGAAAAAUUUAUUUUUAAAUUUUUCUAAAAAUAGGUAAUUUUUCUAAAAAAUUUAGGGGUCAAAAUGUAAUUUUUUAUUUUUUGAAUUUUUUUUGAAAUUUAAAAAAAUAUAUAUAUAUAAACACGACAAAACCCGGACAAAAUUUAGUGCUUACAAUUAAUACCUAAUUUGAUCCUUGAAUUAUAGUUCAAAAAGUAUUUUUAUAUUUUUAAAUUUUCAUAAAAAUAAUUGUAUCAAAAUUUAAAAAUCUUAAAAAUAAAUACAAAUUUUAUAUAAAAAAUCAAUUGGCCCAAGAAAAAAAAUUUACCAACUAAAUUUUCCAUAUCCAAACUCAUAAAUAAUUCUUCUUUGAACUUUCACAAAAAAAUAUUAAAUACCCUUUCACUUUAUCAUUAUAAAUAUAAUAUACAUUUUUUUCCUUCUUUUUCAUGUAGAUCAGCUUCAACUCUACUAUUCUUAGAUCAUUAUAAAUAUAAUAUAUGUUUUAUUUACAGCUGAAAGUAAAACCUUGAGUUGAAAUUUGGCAGAAAAAAUUGUGGGUUUGGAGAAGAAGAAGAGCACUUUGUAUUUAAAUUUAAAAAAUCAAAAAUUUCAAAACUGAAAGUUACUCAAAACCCUAAACAAUCUAAUAAUUGGAGUUAUAGAAAAGAAAUAUGAGUUUAGAAAUAAAUAAAACAAAAUAAAUUUGCAAAACAAUUUCUAGGCAAAACAACAUGAAGUUGUUGAUGUGAUUGAAGGUGUUCUUCAACGGUGGAAAACAAAUAGAAUUUAAUUUGAAAAUUUUAAGAUUUUUUAAAUAAUAAAAAAUUGCAUUAGUUUAAAAACUUUAGUUUUAAUUUUAAGAUAUUUUUAGAUUUAUACAUAUUUAAUUAUUUUUAGAUUUUUUAGAUUUAAAUGAAGUUACAAUUAUUUUUGAAAACGGUACCUCUACAUUUUUGAAGGUACAAGGAAAUAAAAUAUGGAUUUGGUAUCGAUACUUCGGCCCGAGUAUCAAUGCUCGAGGUAAGUUUAUUGAUACCUUGCGAAAGGUACCAAUAAUUUUUUUAUAUUUUGAUAUUUGGUAAGAAACAUAAUGUUAGUUUGGUAUCGAUUUUCCAUGAGAUAUCAAUACCACUUAAAGAAAAUAUCGAUAGCCCUAGGACAGUAUCAAUACCUAUGUAACAGUUUUAGAAAUUUUGCAACUGGGCCCAUUUGUAGGUUUGAUUGAUGUUUUUAAUACCCUUAGUGUAUGUAUGGCAUGUUUUAAUGAUAAGAAGUGGUUGAACGACUACAACUCAUACGUAGGAUUGAAUAAAGAUGAUGAUUGGUUACUUGUGAAAUUGUUUGCUAAGUAAAUGAUGCAUGAUGGUGGUGUAACAUCCUAAUAUUUCGGCUUGGCGACUGAGCCGAGUAUAGGGUGUUACAAUGUGUUCCACAAGUUUCAUCAGCAAUCCUCAAUGCAUCUAAUUAAUUGGGAAAAUUGAGAAAAUAGAAAUGGUCAAGAAGAUGUAACAUGAUGAGUACCUCUUUGCACCGUCAAGAAUUUUAGUAAGUCUCCAAAUUCAUUCAUUAACCCUCCUUCCUGUUAAAUAUUUAUCAUUAAUUUUAUUAAAUUAAAACAUAAAUUUUUAUAAAUCUAAAGUGUAAUUUAUGAGCCGGGUUAUUCAAUCCAAAAAAAAAAAAUCAGCCAAGACUCUUUGGACAAAUUGCUUGAGUAAAACCAGAAAAUGAAUAACAAUUUUGAUGGAUUUUGAUUACAAAUGAAUUGAGGCAUAAUGCCAUUACAUAUACCAUGCAUUCAGCUGGUCAAAAUGAGACAGACAUCACCUAAUCAUCAACCUAACUCCACUAAGUAGCCUUGAAACUUAUGAAAACAUAACUUGCACACAUAGGUACGCUGAUUUAUCAAUCUAUCAGCACCUAAUUACAUCAAACAUGUUACCAACUUAGUUCAAAUCAAACUAAGCAAGAAAACAUUAACUUAAAGUAACAAAAAAUGAACAGCAGCAUGAACUUCAGCUGCAACUGCAUGGCUGGAGCAGCUCUGCUUCUUGUCUGCAUGCCGGCCAACUUCAACAAGAUCUGAGUAAGGCUAAUUUGUCCAGAAGUUGCAUCAUGCAAAACUAUUUAAUGGCUUUUAGGUAGCUUUGUCAACGGCAAAAAAAAUGAGAAAAUUAGUCAAAUUUCUUCCAUUUUUAUCUUUAAAAAUUUGGUUUUGUGCGUCAACAUGAAGUACAUGUGGCACGUACAUGCAAACUGUCUGAUUAUUUAGACAUCUACACUAGUUUUUAAAGGUAAAAAUAGAAGAAAAUUUUAAUAAACAAGACCAAUUAACUCUUUUAUCUAGCAUACAAGAAUUAUUCUAUACAUCUUUCAAUAAAUGGGGAAAAUUACAUCCACACAUUCUCCACAUUUCAGACCUGUAAUUCUAGCCAAUUGGUCACAAGCAUACAUGUCCCAUUUCAAUAUUCAAAGGUCUGCUUUGAUUAUUUUAUUUUGUGUUCUGUUGUCGCCCCAAAAUAGUUCCACUUGGCACAUCUCCAUACAUUUCAAACAUACCAAAAAUCUGCUGGCAAGCAAUACAAGACAAGUUCCAGCCACUUCAACAUUUGGCUCCUGUUCAUUGCCAAAAGAAAAAAAUAAACAUUUUUUAUAUUUAAUUGAAGGUCAAAAACACAUAAAAAGACAACCGGACAGCUAGUAUUUCAUCCAAUCUUCACAACAUGUCUGUGUGCGUGCAGAUCCUUCACUUCCCAGAAGCCUUUAGCGCGUAUUCUAUUAUAAAAUCACAGAUUACUAUUUAAAUGAUAAAUAAAUUAUUUAAAGUAUGAAAAUAUACAUGUUUUUUUUUAUUGGCUUAAGGGCGUAAAAAAUCCUUAAAUUUUUUUUUUAAAAAAGACAAUUAAAUUUCUCCUUUUUUUACACUCAAUUGAGCACUUAAAGUUUUAAAAUGCAUCAAAAAUACUCUCAAACUUCUUCCGAAAAAACAAUUAAAUCCUUAUUUUCUUUCCCACUCAAUUGGGUGCUUGAACUUUUUCAUAAUAUUUUUUUGGGCGAUUUAAUGAACCAUACAAGUUUCAAGGCUAAAAGAGGCAAAAGAAAAAGAAAAAGAAAAAGAAGCUAAAAUGACUUUUUGUUUGUAAAGUCAAAAAAUACCAAAUAAAUCAUUAUGUCUUUUUAGUUUUAAUUUUUUACUUGAUUAAAAGAGAAAUAAUUAACGAAUGAAAAAUAGCUAUUCCUAAAUAAAUUUAUCAGAAUUUAUAACAAAUGAGAUUUUAGAUUUGAAGUAUGAGGUUAUAUAUAUUAUAUAAGUAUACCUGUUUUUAUGGAAUCGGUGGAUUAUAUUUUCGACAGUCUUCUUCCCCAAGCGUAGUGAAUAGAGCACAAUUUUGUUCUUUUGGAUGGAAAAGAAUUUCUACAUUAAUUAGAUUUGGUUGACAGGCAAAUGAAUAGAUACACACAUUUUUUACGUGUUAUUAAGGAAGAAGACUAAGUCAAUCUACUUUGUAAUCUCAUCAAUCUUAAUUUUUUUAGUUGUUUAGGGAGUUCAAAUGAAAUACAAGAUUUUGCUAUAAAAAAAAAAAGCAUCCAAUUUUAAGAAUGAAAAAUAUACGGUAAAAAGAAGACUAAUGGUUGUUGAUGAUUGUGAAAAAUACAAAAAUUAUUUGUUGCCUAUAAAUACCAUUCCUAUCCUUCAUCUUCCUCUACAAACAUAACAUGGCCUCCUAUCUCUUUCUCUGCCUAUUCCUCUUCUUUCCCCAUCUUUAUGCUUCUUUUUCUUCUUCAGGAUCUCACUCCUGCUCUUCGCUAAUCCAGUUCAAGAAUUCUUUUUCCAUCACUCAGACAGAUGUUGCUUCUUCUUAUUGCGAUGAUCAAUCUUAUCCCAAGACAGAUUCAUGGAAGGAGGGUACAGAUUGCUGCUCAUGGGAUGGGGUCACUUGUGACCACCUAAAUGCUCGUGUUAUUGUCCUUGACUUGAGUUGCAGUUGGCUAUAUGGCAACUUCCCUUCCAAUACCACUCUCUUCCUUCUUCCUCACCUUCAAAAACUCAACCUUGCCUACAAUUAUUUUAAUCUUUCCAAAAUUCCAUCCGAGUUCGGUCGGUUUAUAAGCCUAUUCUACCUCAACCUUUCCAAUACAGGGUUUGCAGGAGAAGUCCCAUCCCAAGUCUCCCACCUGUCAAAAUUGGUUUCACUUGAUCUCUCCUGUCGGGCUGAUGCACAAACAAUUGACAAACAUGCUCUGGAGGGACUUGUUCACAACCUAACCGAGGUCAGACAUCUGUUUUUGGAUGGAAUCAACAUGUCUUCUGUUAAUGCUCAUGUCUUCAUGAAUCUAUCCUCUUCUCUAAGGUCUCUCAGUCUUGCUUUUUGUGAUUUGCAAGGAAAAUUCCCAAAAAACAUUUUUGAUUUGCCAAACCUCAAUCUCCUCAACUUGGGAGGCAACCAAAACCUCAAUCUUGAUCCUUUGAAGUUCAAUCGGAGCAGCAAUCUUGAACAUUUGGAUCUGUCGUGGAUGUCCUCCUCUACAGAAAUUGAUUCAGUUGAUAAUCUACAGGCCUUAAAGUACUUAGAUCUAUCAGGAAAUUCUUUCUUUCAAGGAUUGUCUGUCUCAAUCACAAAUUUAUCAUCUUUGGAGUACUUGAUUCUUAGAGGCGCAAAUGUUUUUGGAGGAUUGCCUGACUUGACGGGGAAUCUUGUGUCCUUGAAGUUUUUAGAUCUCUCCCAGUCCAACUUAUCAGGACCGGUUCCAAGAUCACUGGGAACCUCUUGCAACUCACUCAUUUAGACUUGUCGCAGAACCAAUUGAGUGGACAAAUUCCAAGAUUAUUGGGGAACCUCUUUCAACUCACUCAUUUAGACUUGUCGUGGAACCAAUUGAGUGGACAAAUUCCAAGAUCAUUGGGGAACCUCUUGCAACUCACUCAUUUAGAUUUGUCGAUGAACCAAUUGAGUGGACAAAUUCCAAGAUCAUUGGGGAUCAUUGGGGAACAUCUUGCAACUCACUCAUUUACUUGUCGGUGAACCAAUUGAGUGGACAAAUUCCAAGAUCAUUGGGGAACCUCUUGCAACUCACUCAUUUAGACUUGUCGGUGAACCAAUUGAGUGGACAAAUUCCAAGAUCAUUGGGGAACCUCUUGCAACUCACUCAUUUAGACUUAUUGGUGAACCAAUUGAGCGGACAAAUUCCAAGAUCAUUGGGGAACCUCUUGCAACUCACUCAUUUACAGUUGCCGGUGAACCAAUUGAGUGGAAAAAUUCCAAGAUCAUUGGGGAACCUCUUGCAUCUCACUCAUUUACACUUGCCGAUGAACCAAUUGAGUGGACAAAUUCCAUUGUCAAUUCUAAACCUAACGCAGCUGGAAUACUUUGUAAUAUCUAAAAAUUCUUUAGAAGGUUCCAUUCCAGAUGAGGUAACCGCUUUUCCUAAUCUAAUAUAUUUACACUUAAAUGACAAUUUACUCAAUGGAACAUUUCCGUCAUGGUUGUUUACUGCUCCCUCCUUAAAGGAAAUAUAUCUCUCUCAAAAUCAAUUCAGUGGGCAUAUCAAAGAAUUCCAAUCCAAAUCACUAGAAUUGAUAGCGUUACAGAAUAAUAAACUCCAUGGUUCUCUUCCAUCUUCAAUAUUCCAACUUCUCAAUCUUACCGACCUCGUUUUAUCCUCAAAUAAUCUUAGUGGUGUCAUAGAGUUUCGCAUGUUCUCAAACCUUCCAAAUCUAAAACAUCUCGACCUUUCAUAUAACAGCCUAUCCUUAACAUCUAAUACUACUUCUACUGUUAAUCAUAUAUUGCCUAAUCUUACAGGCUUACUUUUGUCAUCUUGCAAUCUUGGUGAAUUCCCCCAAUUUUUAAAAGGGCUUAAAAGUUUGGAAAGCUUAGACCUCUCUUGCAACAAAAUUGAAGGCAAGAUUCCACAGUGGAUGCAAGAGGUGGGGAAUGUCUCUUUGACUUACUUAAACGUAUCUCACAACUCUUUGACGAAGUUGAGCACUUUCCAUGGAAGAAUAUUGAAUUUCUUGACUUAAGCUCCAAUUUGAUCAGUGGAAAUCUUCCGAUUCCAGCUUCGACCAUCAAUGUCUUUUUGAUCUCAAAUAAUAGUUUCAAUGGAGAGGUCUCUUCUUUAAUAUGCAAUGCCAGUUCUCUUCGAAUUCUUGAUUUGUCCCACAAUAACUUGAGUGGAACAAUUCCGCAAUGUUUUGGAAAUUUGAGCAACAGCCUUGAAUUCUUGAAUCUGAAGAAGAACAUGUUUUAUGGGACGAUUCCUCCAACAUUUGCAAAGGGAUGCCAAUGGAGUAAUUUCAACUUAAAUGGAAAUUUGUUAGAAGGGCCUUUGACACCAUCCAUCCUUAAUUGUAAUGGUCUGGAAGUGCUAGAUCUUGGUAACAACAAGAUCAAUGAUACAUUUCCUCAUUGGUUGGGAAAUCUUCCAUAUUUGCAAGUUCUUGUAUUGAAGUUAAAUCAUAUGCAUGAUUCCUUGCGUGUCAAUAGCUCCAAGUCUAGCCCUUUUUUCUCUAAAAUCCAAAUUUUUGACCUCUCAAGUAAUUAUUUUACUGGACCCCUACCAGUGAGAUACAUCAACAGCUUCAAGGCUAUCAUAAAUCUAGAGAAGAUUGGGAGUACAUUGUUGUACAUGGGGGUGUAUGAUCGGAUUGCUAGUGGCUUCUAUACCUAUUCCAUUGGAAUUGUUAUGAAAGGACAAGAUAUGGAAUUGGUGAAAAUUUUCACCAUGUGGAUGAUCAUUGAUCUAUCAAACAAUCAGUUUGAAGGGGGUAUUCCAAAGGUUAUUGGGAAGCUUAACUUACUGAAAGGGCUCAACCUUUCUCAUAAUAACCUUAAUGGUGGUAUCCCCACCUCAACAGGGAAUUUGACAAGUCUUGAAUGGUUAUGUAGUUUUAGAUGUUAAGGAUAGGCUGUUAUAUGAAAGGUCGCGAUGUUUUAGAUUUGGAAGGUUUGAGAACAUGCGAAGCUCUAUGACACCACUAAGAUUAUUUGAGGAUAAGCUGAGGGAGGUAAGAUUGAGAAGUUGGAAUAUUGAAGAUGGAAGAGGACCUUCGAGUUUAUUAUUUUCUAGAUCUAAAUAUUCUAGUGAUUUGGUUUGGAAUUCUUUGAUAUGACGGAAGUGUUCCAUUGAGUAAAUUGUCAAAUAACACUAAAUAUAUUAGAUUCGGAACAGCGGUUACCUCAUCUGGAAUAGAACCUUCUAAAGAAUUUUCAGAUAUUUCCAAGUAUUCCAACUGCGUUAGGUUUAGAAUUGACAAUGGAAUUUGUCCACUCAAUUUGUUUGAUCCCAAGUCUAAAUGAGUGAGUUGCAAGAGGUUUCCAAGUGAUCUUGGACCGGUCCUGAUAAGUUGGAAUCGGAGAGAACUAAAAACUUCAAGGACACAAGAUUCCCCAUCGAGUCAGGCAAUCCUCCAAAAAAAUUUGCGCCUCUAAUAAUCAAGUACUCCAAAGAUGAUAAAUUUGUGAUUGAGGCAGACAAUCCUUGAAAGAAAGAAUUUCCUGAUAGGUCUAGGUACUUUAAGGCCUGUAGAUUAUCAACCGAAUCAAUGAAUUCUGUAGAGAAGGACAUCCACGACAGAUCCAAAUGUUCGAGAUUGCUGCUCCGAUUGAACUUCAAAGUAUCAAGGUUGAGGUUUUGGUUACGUCCCAAGUUGAGGAGAUUGAGGUUUGGCAAAUCAAAAAUGUUUUUUGGGAAUUUUCCUUGCAAAUCACAACCAGCAAGACUGAGAGACCUUAGAGAAGAGGAUAGAUUCAUGAACACAUGAGCAUUAACAGAAGACAUGUUGAUUCCAUCCAAAAACAGGUGUCUGACCUCGGUUAGGUUGUGAACAAGUCCCUCCAGAGCAUAUUUGUCAAUUGUUUGUUCACCAAACACAGAGGAGGAGAGAUCAAGUGAAACCAAUUUUGACAGGUGGGAGACUUGGGAUGGGACUUCUCCUGCAAACCAUGUAUAAGAAAGCUUGUAAACCGACCGAACUCGGACCUAUCUUCAAACAUAUUAAAUACCCAUUCACUUCAAUUCUACUAUUCUUAAAUCAUUAAAGUUUUGUGGAAAAUAUGCUUCUUGGAUAAAAAUUAUUCAACACACAUGCCUUGAAUUUUAUGCAAUAAAAUAAAUCAAUAUAGGCCACACAUGCUUUGAAUUUUUAAGUAGUCCACAAUUUUGUUCGUUUGUGUGCAAGAUUCUACAUUGCUUGACAGCCAUACAUACUAAGUAAAUAGACACCCACAUUGUUUACGUAUUAUGAGGAAGAAGAUUAAGUCAAUCUACUUUGUAAUCUCAUCAAUCUUAAUUUUCUCAGUUGUUUAGGGAGUUCAAAUGAAAUACAAAAUUUUGGAAAAAAAAUGUAUCCAAUUUUGUGAAUGAAAAAUAUAUGGUAAAAAGGAUUUGGUAUGGAUACUUCGGCCCGGGUAUCAAUACUCAGAGUAAGUUAAAGCAUCAGUGGAUGAAGAAGGAUCUGGUUGGUGCAAAUGAAGUUAAAGCAUUUGUGCUGUGUCUUCAUAAUUUCUUGUUUAGUAGUCUGUCAGAAAGUUUUUCCUAUGGUGAAAAGUUGCAUUGGUAUGUGUCUGUUUUUAUGAUUGUACCAAUUCCUCUGUAUUUCAUUGCAUUUCGUACUAUUUGUAAGGGUUUAGUUCGAGUGUAACAUCUUGUAUGGUGCAACUAUGUGUGUCUUCUUUCUUGAAUUUCAAUUUUUAGUAAACAUUGUACUGCUCACCAUAAAAAAGGAUACAUGUAGAAUUACAAAAGAUUCAAUUAUUCAAGUUUGAGUUGCAUUUAUAAAGACGUGGCGAUGAGAAUUCAUGAACGUAAGGUAUGGUUUGAGCCCUUUUGCCAUAUGCAUUUAUGUUGCAGAUGUUCAAAUAUUAAUUUAAGAGUAAUAUUUACAAUAGCAUUGCAGAGUAACAUAUUUAAGAUUGGAUUACACAGUCAAAAGAUUGCAGCAACGAUGAGAUUAAUACAAUUACAGGAAUUGGUAUCCUACAUGGCUUUUAGGCACGUAGCUUCAUUGACGAUGAGAUAAUUUUAGGAGGAAGCAACAGCAAGUGUGAAGUCAAUAGACAAUUGAUAGUCUUUAUUCUUUUGUGUGGAAAAUUAUUUGGGACCAAACUUAACGUGUUAUAAGGAAGAAGACUUUGUAAUCUCAUGAAUGUUAAUUAUUUUACUUCUUUGGUAAAAAAAAAGGAAUUAAUUUUAUGAAUGAAAAAUAUAUGGUAAAAAGGAAAUAGUUGUUGAUCACUAACAACAUGAUGAUUGUGGAAAUACAAAAAUUCCCAUAUAUGUGUUGAAUUCUGCAUAAUGUAAAUGUCCCGCAUUGCAUGUGAAUUCUGCAAUAGACCAAAUUUUACGUGUUAUAGUCCUUUAAACUGAGUUAAUGAAAAGUAAUCAUUCUUAUCAAAAUUAGUUAUACUCUUAAUUUAUAAUAAAAGAAAGAGUAAUUUGAGUUUAACUCAAAGGUUAAUAUGUCAUCAAUGGGCGAUGGCAUGGCGCUACCAUGUCAGCGAUUAUUUUCUUCUUUGAGUUAAGGUGAUUUCACCAAUUUUAGUUUACUUUUUAACUUCAAUUUAGGUUUAUGCUUAUUAGCUUCGAAGAUUCUAUGUGGGUGCCACAAUCAAAGGGUGAGUAAAAAGGGUUAAAAAUAAUUUUUUUUAAAAUAUUUUUAUUUUUAUUAAAAAUUUAGAAUUAGAAUUAGACAAAUUUUGUAAAUGUUAAGGGCUAACUUUAUUGAAUUUUUUUUUUCAGAAUUCGAACUAAAAUGACAAAUUUUGUAAAAAGCGCUAAAUUUGUUGAAUUUUUUAUAUUUAAGAUCAAAUUGAUAGAAUGUGUAAAUAUUAGAGGUUAAAUUCGUUAUUAGAUAAAAAAAAUCCACAUCAGCUUUCCGUCACUCAUCUAACGACAACUAAAGGGAGAGUGAUUAAAAUAUUUAAUUUCAAAAAGUUUAGCAACUAAUUGGAAAAUUUAAUAGUUGGGUGACUAUUUUUAUAGUUUACAACUUUUUUGGUCACAUGACUAUUAAGUGACACUUUUUAGUUGGUAUAAUAAUAAUUUUUAUCCUCAAUUUUUAUACUUUCUGUCAAUUUAACUCUAAUUAUAUAAAAUGAUUACAAAAGUGAAAUUCUUUUUAAAUUUUACAAAAUUCUAAAAAUUAAAAAUUAAAUGAAAGUAGAUAAAAAUUUCAAAUAUAAAUAAAGUGAGAGAAAAUGAGGGAAAUAUUAUUUUUAAACCCUCCAAAUUUUCUUUGUAUUAUUUGUAAAGAAAUAUCUAAUAUCCAUUCUUUUAGAAAACAUAGAAAAAAGUAAAAAAAAAAAAGAUUAAGUAAAAUUAUCUGUAUAUAAUCUGCUUUUAUAAUUUGGGUUUUUAAAAAUAAAUUUAAAUGAAUUGAAAAUUCGAAUUGAGUUUGAAAAAGAAAAUUUUGUGGUAUAUUUUAUAUUUUUGCUAGAAAAAUGGCAUCAAAGUUGAUUUUGUAAGCUUUUGUAAUAUAGUUACGGAUGUUCUUCAAGGGCAUGAAACUCAACUUGAAAAUUUUACUAAUUUGGUUGCAAAAAACAUUGAGGAAGCGUAUAAUGAUCUAACCUUUUUUUUGUUUUGUUCUGUUUUUAAUUUGUUAUGGGAUUCUAUUGAAUGAUAAUUUUUUUUAUUUCCCAUACAUAUUAGUUCUUCAACAACAACAUAUUCGAGAUUUUAUUUUUCUAGAAUUUUUAUAUAGAAGUUUAUAUUUUUUAAAAAUAAUUUUGAGUUUUUUUUAUAAUUUUUAUACAGAAGUUUAUAUUUUUUAAAUUGGCAAAAAAAAUUAUAAAAACAAAAUACUAGAAUUGUUAUUAUAGCAACUACAAAGUGUCAUUUAACAAUAGGGUGACCAAAUUGUAACUUUUUUCGUUAAGUGACCAAAACGAAGAUUUACCCAUAGUUCAGUGGCUAAUUAUGUAGUUUACCUUUUCAUAAUUAAAAAAUAGUUGUUAAGUUUUUCUUGUAUUAGAUAACAUUUUAGAUGGUAAAAACCCUCUUUAGUCCCUCUCAAUUUUGAUAUUAAGUAAAUUGGUCCAUUUUAAAAAAAAUUAAAGCAAUUUAAUCUUUGUUAAUUUCGAAAGUGAGCAACUAAGAACAAUUAAUCACAAUGUCAAUAUUUUCCAUCAAUUGUACAUAUUUUUAUUGGUAUAAUAACAAGUUUAUAAACUUGUUUACAUAUUCUGUCAAUUUGAUCUUGAUUUAACAAAUUUAUCCCGCAACAAUUACAUAUUCUAUUAACAUUUACAUAUAAUAUAUAAACAUCGAGAGCUUAUUUUGUUAUUAUAUCAAUAAAAAAUAUAUACAAUUUACAGAAAGUAUUAACACAAUGAUUAAUUGUUCUUAGUUGCUCCCAUUCAAAAUUGAUAAUGAUUAAAUUGCUCUAAUUUUCUGAGAGGAAUCAAUUUGUUCAAUAUAGAAAUUGAGAGGGACGAGAAAUGUGUUUUUAUCCAUUUUAGAUACCAACAAGUGUUUGGCGUAGUGGCAAAUCAUAUUACAUUCUCAAGGAGAUAAUGCGUAUUCAGACGUUGGAGAUAAUAAUGUUGUGUGCGGUAUCCACCGAUCUUGAACACGAAUUGUAAAACAUAUAUAAAGAAUAAAAAAAUAACAUCUUAAUUUAAAUAAUUAAUAAAUUUUAAUUUGAAAAAAUUAUUUUGAGAAACAUAAGUUUUAGUAAGUAGUAAAACUGAAUUAAUUUGAAUUUAAACUUAACGCAACUCGAUUUGAUUAUAAAGAAGUGAUAAUUUGAAUCCAAAAUGACAUGAUCUUAAAAUGAUUUGAAUUAAUUGUCAAACCCGAACGACAAAACUCGAAAUGAUGCAAUCCAAAAACGCUGGUUAAAAUGAUGCAAUCCAAUCGUAGUAAGUUUAACCUGCUGCUUUAGAUUUUGCAUUUUGGUUAAUUGGCUUGUGUUAUGUGUUUCUCUGGCAUCAGCCGAUAUGUGGAUUUGCCUCUCGUGAUGCACUACCAUUCAAGAAGCAUAAUGAUUUGUUCUACAUUGAUGACAAAGAUGUGGAGUUUAAAGAAGUAAGAACUGAUCAACAAUAUUCGAGGUUCUGUUGUAUGUUGCCUUAUUAAAUAAGUCUUCACUUAAAUUCCUAUGUUGCCUUAUGUAUGUAGGUUCUUGAGUCACCUUUACCAAAAGCACCACUUGAUACAUCUGUUACAUCCCACUGGCUUGCGAUUGAAGGCAUUCAACCAGCAAUUCCCGAAAAUGCUUCAAUUGAAGGUACCGUCUUAGCUAACCUAAAUAUUUUCUCGAAGCUAUUUGUGUUGAAUACUCUCAUGGUUCAUGUUCUUUUCUGGUUUUAUCACUUUAAUCUAAUACGACUUAUCUUCAUUUCUACAUGGAAUUGGUAGUUUGCUUUCCAUGCAGCACCUUCUGAUGGUAAAAAGGCUGAAUACAAAGAAGAUGGGCUUUCCGUUGAUGUCAAAUUACCUGUUAAGCAUGUAUUAUCUAGAGAGCUUCAAGUAUGUUGUACAUCUUCAGCAACAUUUUUAUGUUAAAAUACAUUUUGCACAGAAUGUUAUUAAAAGACUAAUUUGGUUGUCAUGCAGCUUUACUUUGACAAGAUCGUGGACAUUACCAUGAAUAAAUCAGUCUCAGUUCUCUUUAAACAAGCAUUACUGAGUUUGGCAACAGACUCGGGAUUACAUCCUUUAGUUCCUUAUUUUACAUAUUUCAUUGCGGAUGAGGUUGUCUUAAAGAUCUUUGAUACCUCAUUAUAUAUGUGUGUUGCAAAGAACUUUUGGUUGGUUAUCUCAAGCUUACAUUUUUGCCACAUUUAUCUCAGGUUGCACGGAAUUUGAAUAAUUUCCCUCUCAUGUUUGCUUUGAAGCGUAUUUGCAGCUUCUUGAACCUGAAAUAAAAAGACACGAGGCCUGGUGUGUUUAUGGGGCCCUGCUGGUAAGUUUAACAUCAAAUUUGGUACCAGUUUAUGAGCAUCGUUUCAUUUAUUUGCUGUAGAACUAACAACACUGCAUAAAAUUUCCACUAACAGCGUGCAGCUGGACUGUGCAUGUAUGAUCGGCUUAAAAUGUUCCCCAGUUUGCUAGCACCCCCAACUCGUCCCAUCUGGAAAAGCAACAACAAAGUUGCGACAAGUAUGAUUUCUUCGAACCAUCAUAUUUACACUUAAUCCACAAGUCUCUUCUCCCCCUUUACGAUAUUCCUUUUUCUGAUCAAUCAAGAUAAACGAAAAGCAAGCACGGACACCUUGAUGCAGCAGCAACCACCUGCCAAGAAAAUAGCAACUGAGAGUGCAAUAGGUAUGAUGCCGAUAAAUUCCACGCAAACUGAUUUACAAGGGGCAGUUAGCGGCUUUUCUACCACCGUAGGAGGUUCCAAUAUCGGUGUAUCAUCAAUGUCACGGCCGUUAUCAAACGAAAACAUGCUAGGAAGGGAGGUUGGGGGUCGAGUUUCAAAGACAUCAACCGUUCUAGCUCAGGCUUGGAAGGAAGACACAGACCCGGGGAACUUGUUAGCAUCAUUAUUUGAACUUUUUGGUGAAAGUAUGUUAUCAUUUACUCCCAAACCUGAGCUUUCAUUCUUCCUUUGAUUAAAUUUCACCUCCAAAAGCUAUGGUUUUUGAAGGAAUUUGUGUAAAUUAUCCCCAUAUUCUUUUCAUUCUUACUGUGUUUAUCUUUGUAAGUCUUCCUUUUUUCCUUGCUCAUAAAUGUAUUGUAGUUAUCAAAAAAUAUAUUCUACUUUGGAUUUUAUUUAUAUUAAAAUUUAGGUUAAAUUCUGCUAUUAGUCUCUGUACUUUACGAAAAUGAUGGAUUUAGUCCUUAUACCUUAAUUUGAUCAAUUUUAGUCAUUGUAUUUUUUGAAUUGGUCAAUUUUAAACCAUUUACUUUUUGAAUUUUGAAAUUUUAGUCUUGAUUCAAAUAAUAUUAAUAAUAAUUAAUACCUAAACAAUGCUCCUUUUCCCAAGGUACCUAAUUUUUAUUUUGGCCAUAAGUAUUACUAAAACUAUUCUUCCAUUACUCAUUUUACACCAAAAUGUUAUAUCGGCUAAAAAGAUUCCAACAAAUAAUAGAUUGUAUGUCAUAUAAGCUUUUAAAAAUAAUUAUUAAUUAAUUAAUUUUUUUAUAUUUUUCUUUCUUAUUCCUUUAUAAUGUUUGACAAUGCCGAUAAUGUUUGAAAUUGGCCCACUUGAGGUCGAAACGUUGGUGAUUAAUUUUGGUUUUGAAUUUCACCACCUACUUCUCUGACCUGAGGGAAACUAGUGUUUUCAAAAACAGAUUGAUUCAACUAGUUGGAUAGGAAAUCGGUCCGGAAAUAGGGGUUGAAUCGAUUGACUUGCGAACAAAAACAAAUCGGUUGAACUAGUUCUCUCCAUUUAUAUUUAUAUAAAUAAUAAUAGUUUUUUUUUACUACAUGUCAAUUUUUAAUUGGUUAAUUUUUUUUUUCAUAUAAACUGAACGGUUUGACUAAUGACGGAGGUACCAAAUUUUAGUCUAGGUACCAAUUUAUGGGUUAAGCCUAUUUCUAAAAUAGACUUUUGACUAAUGGCAGUAGUAACUUGGGAAAAAAAAGUAGUUUAUGUACCACUUGUGACAAAAAAUAAGUUUAGGUACCAACAUGGGAAAAUGAGUAUAAUUUAGAUACCGAUUUAUGAGUUAAGCCUAAUAUAUUUGUCGCAUCAUUUUUUGAAAAUAACAAAACUUAAUAAAUUUAACGGUUAUUGUUUGGUGAUGACUAAAAUUUUAAAAUUUGAAAAGUAGAUGAACUAAAAAUGACCAAAUUAAAGUAUAAAGAUUAAGUCCACAACUUUUGCAAAGUAUAAGGACUAAUAGCAGAAAUUAACCUAAAUUUCAUAUGGGUCAAUUACAAAAAUAAUCACUAAACUAUUCCUUUAGUUCUAUUCUAGUCACUCAACUAUAGAGGUGCUCAUGAGCCUGGCCAGGUCAGGCCUAAGCAUGAUAUUAAAGUACUUUAUGCUUGCUCAAGCUCGGCUCGGCCCAAAAUAUGAGCUUAAAAUUUUGCCUAAACUCAUCCAUAUUUGCAAAAGACUAACCCAAGCUCAUUUUAGGCAUGCCCAUAUAAUUUUUAGUUUUUUUUUUAAAUAUUUAUAUUAUAUUAUUUUAAUAUUUAAUAAUUUAAAUAUUUUUUAUUUAUUGAAAAUUUUUAUAUAGUCAUCUUAACAUUAUUUUAAUGUUUACAUUAUAGUAUUAUUAUAUAUUUAAUAUAAGUUUAUUUUUUUAAUCUGUUCUAAAUUAUAAAAUAUAAAGUAUUAUACACUUAAAAAUGGGCCGGGCUGGGCUCGAGCUUUGAAUGUUCAAGCCUAAACCCAGCUCAUAUUUUAAACGGGCCUAAUUUAUCACCCUUUGAUUUAUCAAAAUUUAUAACAAAUGAGAUUUUAGAUUUGAAUUAUGAGGCUAUAUAUAUAUAUAAGUAUACACAUUUUUAUGAAAUACAAAAUUUUGCUAAAACAAAAAGCAUAUAAAAGUAUACACGUUUUUAUGAAAUAAAAGAAAAAGCAUCCAAUUUUGAGAAUGAAAAAUAUAUGGUAAAAGCAUCCAUAACUUUUCAAUGUUAAAGAAAAAAAAGACUUAACACCAAUGUUGUGGUAUUAUUUGUUGCCUAUAAAUACCAUUCCUAUCCUUCAUCUUCCUCUACCAACAUAACAUGGCCCCCUGUCUCUUUCUCUGCCUAUUCCUCUUCUUUCCCCAUCUUUAUGCUUCUUUUUCUUCUUCAGGAUCUCACUCCUGCUCUUUACUAAUCCAGUUCAAGAACUCUUUUUCCAUAACAGAGGCUGCUUAUUCGUCUUGCGGCCCUAAAUCUUAUCCCAAGACAAAUUCAUGGAAGGAGGGUACAGAUUGCUGCUCAUGGGAUGGGGUCACUUGUGACCACCUAAAUGCUCAUGUUAUUGCCCUUGACUUGAGCUGCAGUUGCCUAUAUGGCACCUUCCCUUCCAAUACCACUCUCUUCCUUCUUCCUCACCUUCAAAAACUCAACCUUGCCGGCAAUGAUUUUAAUCUUUCCAAAAUUCCAUCCGAUUUCGGUCAGUUUACAAGCCUAUUCUACCUCAACCUUUCUUAUACAGGGUUUGUAGGAGAAGUCCCAUCCCAAGUCUCCCACCUGUCAAAAUUGGUUUUACUCGAUUUCUCCUCUUGGCCUGCUUUCUCUAUGCAAUAUAGAAUGGACAAACAUGCUCUGGAGGGACUUGUUCACAACCUAACCGAGGUCAGACAUCUGUUUUUGGAUGGAAUGGACAUGUCUUCUGUUAAUGCUCAUGUCUUCAUGAAUCUAUCCUCUUCUCUAAGGUCUCUCAGUCUUGCUGGUUGUGGUUUGCAAGGAAAAUUCCCAAAAAACAUUUUUGAUUUGCCAAACCUCAAUCUCCUCUACAUGGGAGGCAACCAAUUGAGUGGACAAAUUCCAAGAUCAUUGGGGAACCUCUUGCAGCUCACUCAAUUAGACUUAUCGGGGAUCCAAUUGAGUGGACAAAUUCCAUUAUCAAUUCUAAACCUAACGCAGCUUGAAUACUUAGGCUUAUCUGACAAUUUACUAACCUAAUAUAUUUAGGCUUAUCUGACAAUUUACUCAACGGAACACUUCCGUCAUGGUUGUAUACUGCUCCCUCCUUAAAGACAAUAUAUCUCUCUCAAAAUCAAUUCAGUGGGCAUAUCAAAGAAUUCCAAUCCAAAUCACUAGAACGGAUAUGGUUAGAGAAUAAUAAACUCCAAGGUCCUCUUCCAUCUUCAAUAUUCCAACUUCUCAAUCUUACAUCGCUUGCUUUAUCCUCAAAUAAUCUUAGUGGUGUCAUAGAGUUUAGCAUGUUCUCAAACCUUCCAAAUCUCAAAUAUCUCCACCUUUCAUGUAACAGCCUAUCCUUAACAUUUAAUACUACUUCUACUGUUAAUCUUACAGACUUAUUUUUGUCAUCUUGCAAUCUUAGUGAAUUCCCCAGUUUUUAAAAGGGCUGAAAAGUUUGGAAAGCUUAGACCUCUCUUGCAACAAUAUUGAAGGCAAGAUUCCACAGUGGAUGCAAGAGAUGGGGAAUGACUCUUUGACUUUCUUAAACGUAUCUCACAACUCUUUGACAGAAGUUGAGCACUUUCCAUGGAAGAAUAUUGAAUUUCUUGACUUAAGCUCCAAUUUGAUCCGUGGAAAUCUUCCGAUUCCAGCUUCGACAAUCAAUGUCUUUCUGAUCUCAAAUAAUAGAUUCAAUGGAGAGGUCUCUUCUUUAAUAUGCAAUGCCAGUUCUCUUCAAAUUCUUGAUUUGUCCCACAAUAACUUGAGUGGAACAAUUCCACAAUGUUUUGGAAAUUUGAGCAACAGCCUUGAAUUCUUGAAUCUGAAGAAGAACAAGUUUUAUGGGACGAUUCCUCCAACAUUUGCAGAGGGAUGCCAAUUGACUAAUUUCAACUUAAAUGGAAAUCUGUUAGAAGGGCCCUUGACACCAUCCAUCCUUAAUUGUAAGGGUCUGGAAGUGCUAGAUCUUGGUAACAACAAGAUCAAUGAUACAUUUCCUCAUUGGUUGGGAAGUCUUCCACAGCUACAAGUUCUUGUAUUGAAGUCAAAUCAUAUGCAUGGUCCCUUAUGUGUCAAUAGCUCCAAGUCUAGCCCUUUUUUCUCUAAAAUCCAAAUUUUUGACCUCUCAAAUAAUUAUUUUUCUGGACCCCUACCAGUGAGAUACAUCAACAGCUUCAAGGCUAUCAUAAAUCUAGAGAAGAUUGGGAGUACAAUGUCGUACAUGGGGAUGAAUGAUCCUCAAGGUGGCUUCUAUACCUCCAAAUGUGCUUGAAAAAGAUGGCCCAAAAUCAAACAUUACUUUUGGUUGGAAAGUGGUGUUGAUAGGUUAUGGAUGCGGAGUGGUGUUCGGAAUGUCCGUGGGAUAUGUUGUUUUCCAAACUGGUAAGCCGAAAUGGUUGGUGAAUUUGGUUGAAAUCCAACAUGAGAAGAAGUGAAGACGAAAGUCAAAGGAUGGCAGCCGCAGCAAUGGACGAAGAAGGAUCUAGUUAGUGGAAAUGGUGCUCAAGUGUUGAUGUUGUAUCUUCAUAAUUUCUUGUUUUGAAGUCUUUCAAUUUUUUUCCUAUGGUGAAAGGUUGCAUUGCCAUGCAUCUGUCUUUAUUAUUGUAACCAUUCAUCUAUAUUUCACUGCAUUAUGCAGUAUUAUGUCUUCUUUCAUGACUUUGAUUUUUGAGUCUCAAUAAUCUCUGCAUUCAAGAUUUUGUCAGCUUAUUAAUUGGUGGAUCAAUAAUCUUCAUGCUCAUCUCAUCAUCUUUUUCUCGAGUUAAACACAAUUUCUUCCGUGUGGAAAAUAAUUUGGCAUUCUGCAAAUUUCCACAAUGCUGGUAGAUUACCUUCGGUUGACAGCUAUACAUAUCAAGGAAGGAAACAAGACCAUGUCAAAAUUUUCAAAAAUUAGCCAUUGAUUUUGAACAGUUAAACUUUCGUAUUCUAUUGUUCAAAAUUGUAAAUUCUCGAAUAAUGUAAAUUAGUCCUAAAACUCAAGUUUUGAAAUCUUUACAAUUUAACCCCUUAUAGUUUCAAACUUUACUAUUUUAUGCUCAACUUUCUAAAUUUUCAUAUUUCAUGAUCAUAUAAUUUAGUUACUACAUCAAUAUUUCAGAUUUCACUACUCAAAUCCUUACUUCAAAUUUAUCAAAUUAAAUCAUUUUUCAAUUUGAAUGCAUUGAUGUGAAAUUGAGGGAGCACUAAACAAUGUUGAUGCGAGUUUAGGCAAAAUUGGUGGAUCCCAUCUCCUUAGUAAUUUCUUUAUGGAAGUAGCUGCUUUCACACUGCAAACUUGGAUAGUUUGUGGUGGACGAUGAUGAAUCAUUUCACAAUCAAACAUACCAUUUUUAAACACAAAAUUAAUGAUAUAUUGAAAUCAUUAUUGAAAUUGUAAUCAAAAUUAAUACAUGUUUUUUUUAUUAGCUUAAGGGCGUAAAAGCCCUUCAAAAUUUUUAAAAAAAAAAUUUAAGUCCCUCUUUUUUUUUUCUUUUUUUUUUACACUCAAUUGAGCACUUAAACUUUUAAAAUGUAUCAAAAAUAUCUUUACACUUCUUCAAAAAAAGCAAUUAAACCCCCCUUUUUUUUUCCACUCAAUUGGGUACUUGAACUUUCAUAAUGCAUAAAAAAAACCUUAAUUUUUUUUUCAAAGAAACAAUUAAGCCUCUAUUUUUUCCCCACUCAAUUUGGGUACUUGAACUUUCAUAAUGCAUCAAAAAGGCCUUAAAUUUUUUUCAAAAAAGCAAUUAAGCCCCUACUCUUAUUAAAAAUUAGAAAAAGAAUCAUAAAAAUAAUAAAUUUUAGAAAAAAAUUAUUAAAUUUUAAUAAAAAUUUAAAAACUUAUUAAAAAUUAGAAUUUUUUUAGAAAAAUAGUCAAAACUAAAAAAUUAUAAAAAUCAUAAAAAAAAUCCAUCAAAAGUCCUUUUAACAAUUAACUUUAAAUAUUGAUCGUUAAAGUUAACGACCUCUAGUUUUUUCAAUUAAAGUCAUUAUGUGUCGCAACUCAACAUGACAUAUAGCGAAAAUAGAUAAAAAAGUAAAAAUCAAUAAAAGUUAUAGAAAAAUUAUAAAAAAUUUCUUUUGGUACAAUAAUUUUUAUAAAAUUUUUUUUUACCAAAUUUAUAUUUCUUUACAAUUUGUAUAAUUUUCUUAUGACUUUAUAAAAUUUUAUAAUUUUUUAUAUUUCUAUAUAUUUUUUAAAUUUUUAAAUUUUUAUAAAAUUUUACAAUUUUUAUAUAUUUUUUAAUAAUUUUUAAUAUUUGAAUUUUUUAUUAAAAUUUAAUAAUAUUAUAGAUUUUAUUGAUUUUAAUUUUUUCUCUAAUUUUUAAUAAAAGUAGGGGCUUAAUUGCUUUUUUUGAAAAUGUUUGAGGGCCUUUUUGAUGUAUUUUGAAAGUUCAAGUUCCCAAAUGAGUGUUAAAAAAAAAAGAACAGGGGUUUAGUUGCUAUUUUUGAAAACGUUUCUUUUUGUACCCUUAAACCUCUUUUGUUUUUCUAAAUUUAAUUUAGAACCAACUUUGUGUAAAGAAAAUUUCCAGUCUGGUGGAAAAUACAAAUUUUUCCACAUCCAAUCUGGGUCUUUGUCGUGAUUUGUUGGUUGGCUAUGGCCUUGUUGUUGUUUCCACUGCCUCUGGUCUUUGUUUCUAAGUCAUAUGUGGCCUUGUUUGGUAGACCUUAGUUGCUAAGUUAAAGGGAGUGAAUAGAGCACCAUAAAAAAAAAUACAUGUAGAAUUACAAAAGAUUCAAUUAUUCAAGUUUGAGUUGCAUUUAUAAACACGUGAUGAUGAGAAUUCAUGAACAUAAGGUAUGGUUUGAGCCCUUUUGCCUUAUGCAUUUAUGUUGCAGAUGUUCAAACAUGGAAUAAUUCAACCUGCCUUUGUGUAUUCUUAAUUUUGUGCCAAACCUAAAUAUCUAUCGACAAAUUUAAGAGUCAUAUUUACAACAGCAUUGCAGAGUAACACAUUUAAGAUUCGAUUACACUGUCAAAAGAUUGCAGCAACGAUGAGAUUAAUCCAAUUACAGGAAUUAAUAUCCUAAAUGGCUUUUAGGUACGUAGCUUCAUUGACAACAUGAUAAUUGUGGAAAUACAAAAAUUCCCAUAUAUGUGUUGAAUUCUGCAUAAUGUAAAUGUCCCGCAUUGCAUGUGAAUUCUGCAAUAGACCAAACUUUACGUGUUAUAGUCCUUUAAACUGAGUUAAUAAAAAGUAACCAUUCUUAUCAAAAUUCGUUAUACUCUUAAUUUAUAACAAAAGAAAGAGUAAUUUGAGUUUAACUCAAAGGUUAAUAUGUCAUCAAUGGGCGAUGGCGUGGCGCUACCAUGUCAGCGAUUAUUUUCUUCUUUGAGUUGAGGUGAUUUCACCAAUUUUAGUUUACUUUUUUACUUCAAUUUAGGUUUCAGCUUAUUAGCUUCGAAGAUUCUAAGUGGGUGCCACAAUCAAAGGGUGAGUAAAAAGGGUUAAAAAAUGAUUUUUUUAAAAAUAUUUUUAUUUUUAUUAAAAAUUUAGAAUUUGAAUUAGACAAAUUUUGUAAAUGCUAAAGGCUUUAUUGAAUUUUUUUUUCAGAAUUCGAACUAAAAUGACAAAUUUUGUAAAAAGCGCUAAAUUUGUUUAAUUUUUAUAUUUAGGAUCAAAUUGAUUGAAUGUGUAAAUAUUAGAGGUUAAAUUUGUUAUUAGAUCAAUAAAAAAAAACCCACAUCAGCUUUCCGUCACUCAUCUAAUGAAAACUAAAGGGAGAGUGAUUAAAAUAUUUAAUUUCAAAAAUUUUAGCAACUAAAUUGGAAAAUUUAAUAGUUGGGUGACUAUUUUUGUAGUUUACAACUUUUUUGGUCACCUGACUAUUAAGUGACACUUUUUAGUUGGUAUAAUAAUAAUAAUUUUACUCCUCAAUUUUUUAUACUUUCUGUCAAUUUAACUCUGAUUAUAUAAAAUGAUUACAAAAGUAAAAUUCUUUUUAAAUUUUACAAAAUUCUAAAAAUUAAAAAUUAAAUGAAAGUAGAUAAAAAUUUCAAAUAUAAAUAAAGUGAGAGAAAAUGAGGAAAAUAUUAUUUUUAAACCCUCCAAAUUUUCUUUGCAUUAUCUGUAAAAAAAUAUCUAAUAUCCAUUCUUUUAGAAAAUAUAGAAAAAAAGUAAAAAAAGAUUAAGUAAAAUUAUCUGUAUAUAAUCUGCUUUUAUAAUUUGGGUUUUUAAUAAUAAAUUUAAAUGAAUUGAAAAUUCGAAUUGAGUUUGAAAAAGAAAAUUUUGUGGCAUGUUUUAUAUUUUUGCUUGAAAAAUGGCAUCAAAGUUGAUUUUGUAAGCUUUUGUAAUAUUAGUUACGGAUGUUCUUCAAGGGCAUGGAACUCAACUUGAAAAUUUUACUAAUUUGGUUGCAAAAAACAUUGAGGAAGCAUAUAAUGAUCUAACCUUUUUUUUUUUGUUUUGUUCUAUUUUUAAUUUGUUAUGAGAUUCUAUUGAAUGAUAAUUUUUUUUAUUUCCCAUUCAUAUUACUUCUUCAACAACAACAUAUUCGAGAUUUUAUUUUUCUAGAAUUUUUAUAUAGAAGUUUAUAUUUUUUAAAAAUAAUUUUGAGUUUUUUUAUAAUUUUUAUAUAGAAUCGAGGUAAAUUGGCAAAAAGAAUUAUAAACAUAGAAUACUAAAAUUGUUAUUAUAUUAACUAAAAAGUGUCAUUUAACAAUAGGGUGACCAAAUUGUAAUUUUUUUAGUUAAGUGACCAAAACGAAGAUUCACCCAUAGUUUAGUGGCUAAUUAUGUAGUUUACCCUUUCAUAAUUGAAAAAAUAGUUGUUAAGUUUUUUGUAUUAGAUAACAUUUUAGAUGGUGAAAACCCUCUUUAGUCCCUCUCAAUUUUGAUAUUAAGUAAAUUGGUCCAUUUUUAAAAAAAUCAAAGCAAUUCAAGGAGAAUGCAUAUUCAAGCGUUGGAGAUAACAAUGUUGUGUGGGGUAUCCACGGAUCUUGAACACGGACUAUAAAACAUAUAUAAAGAAUAAAAAAAUAACAUCUUAAUUUAAAUAAUUAAUAAAUUUUAAUUUGAAAAAAGUAUUUUGAGAAACAUAAGUUUUAGUAAGUAGUAAAAUUGAAUCGAUAAAAAUGUUCGGUAUAUCAGAAUCAUAAAAAUACAACCUAAUUAAUUUGAAUUUAAACUUAACUCAACUCGAUUUGAUUAUAAAAAACUGAUAAUUUGAAUCCAAAAUCACAUGAUCUUGAAAUGAUUUGAAUUAAUUGUCAAACCCGAACGACAAAACUCGAAAUGAUGCAAUCCAAAAACACAAAUCAAGUGAACUAAACUAUGAAAGAAAAAAAAAAAACCUUACACCGACUCAAAUCCAAAAUAAUUUAAUCCUAAAAUAACCCAAAUUUUAUAUAAUAUAAACUCGAAAUAACCCGAAAAUUUUUAAAUUAAAAUUGACCCGAGCCAAAUUCACACCACCUAAAAUCAAUCAUAACCACCUAAUUAAAAAGCAUGAAAUGAAAUGAUGUAAAGAGAAAAUCAGAGAAAACCAAAUAGAAAGUAACAAGCUUUUUUCAGAAUUGAAAACAAAUUCCGUACAUUCACGACAUGCAUAAAACAACAAUGGUUUAUAGAAUUUGAGUUUUAGUCCCUGUACUUUAAAAGUUAAUUUUUCUUAAUUUAAAAAUUUUAGUUUAAUUAUUUAUGAUGGUUGUAGUUUCCGUUAGCUUAUCAACAUGUUAAAUUACUAAAUUUUGACAGAAAAUACUUACGAGUUUAAUGAUUAUUGCGAGAUUUUUAAAUAAAAAAGUUCGAAAGACUUAAUUUCUAACCUUUUAAAUAUAGGGACUAAAAGCAUCUUUUAACUUUGAUAUUAUUAUUAUAAGCAGGGAUAAUGUCACCUUUGGCAUCUGUACUUUCAUAAAAUGUUUAGUGGUACAAGUACUUUGAAAAUAUAUAAUGUGGUACCUGAACUAUCAAUAUGUGUUAUUAUUAUGGUACAUGUACUUUGAAAAUGUUUAAUGUGGUACCUAAACUAUCAAUAGAUGUUUUAUUAUGAUACUUGGUAAAGACGGACUAUUAUGGUGGCUUAGGGGGCUCUUUGUCCCGUCUCCCCUGCAAAAAAAAAAAAAAGAGUUCGGAGAAUUUUAUUUUUUCCUUUGAAAUCUUUAGAAAAUUUCAAUUAAGCCCCCAAAAUUUUUGAAAAUUUUCAUUAUACCUUUUAAUUUUUUUUUGAAAAUUUUAAUUAAGCACUUUUAAAAUUUUGAAAAUUCUCAUUAAUCUCACAAAAAAUUUAAAAUUUUUUAUUAGACCCCCAAAAUUUUUUUUUUAAAAAUCUUAUUAAACCAUUAAAUUUUUAGAAAAUUUUACUUGCCCCCUCCCCCCCCCCCCCAAAAAAAAAAACCUAGUUCCAACUCCCAGUAUCCGCCAUUGGUACUUGGUAUUAACACUAUUAGAAAAUUGCUAAAUCAACUAAUGAAAAUUUGACACAUAGAACCCUUUUUUUUUUAAUUAUCAAGUCCACGUGGAUAAUAUAAUAGUGAAAAACUAAAUAAAACAAUAAUUAAAUGAAAUUAAAAAAACAAAUAACUAAACAUAUGGUUAAUAAAAAAAACCCGUACUUUCAAAGAUAAUAAAAAAUAUUAUUUAAAAAUCAAUUGAAAAUAUUAUUUUAAAGGGAAAACUCUUUGGAGAAGAUGAUCAUUUGCUUAAAUGGAGAAUAUAAUAUUUUUGGUUAUGUAAAUUUAAUUUAAUUGUUUUAUUUAGUUUUCACAUAAUGUUAUUUUAUACAUGUGGACUUGAUGAAUUAGAAAAAGAAAAAUUGCGUGUCAAAUUUUCAUUUGUUGGUCUAACAAUUCAUUAAUGGUGUUAACAUUAAGUACCAUAAUAAAACAUAUAUUGAUAGUUCAUGUACCACAUUAGACAUUUUCAAAGUACGAAUACUACAUUAGACAUUUUAUAAAAAAUACAUGUACUAUAAUAGAACACAUAUUAAUAAUUUAGAUACACAUUAAACAUUCUAUGAAAUUACCAUUACGAAAUGUGAUAUUAUCUCUUACAAGUAUUUGAUGAGUAGGUAUAUAAGGACAAGCAGAACCACAAUUCCAAUGACAGCUAAAGGCAUGCACAUACACGACAAUCCGCCAUUGAUGUGCUUGUUCAUAAUUACCAUGUUUUUCUGCACUCUCUGAUACAACAAAGAAAAGAAAACACAAUACAAAAUUAAAACUCUAAACAACCCAAAAUUUUUUCGGGCCAGAAAUGGUCCGAAAAUUUUAAGGGUAAACUAUAUUGGUAGCCACCUAACUAUUAAUAAAUUUCUUAGUUACUCAACUAUGAAAAGAUAUUUUUGUAUAUUUUCGAUGAAGAUUUGUUAUUUUUAUUUAUUAUUAAUAAACUUGUUCUUUUUAGUCCAUUUUUGUCAUUGUAGUAAUUUAUCAUCAAAUUUGGGAAAGAAUGCCCCAUUUCUAAUACAUGAUUAUCAUAUCAAAUUGUAGUUAUUCCUAUCUAGUAAUAAACUAACCCCAAUUUAGUCUGAAAGUAGUUAAAUCACUUAAGUUUGUUGCUUAGUUUUGUUGAUAUGGACAAUUAAAAAAAUCAUAAUAUAUAUUUCCAACAAAUAUUUUCGAUAAGAUAAACUCAAAAGUAAUUCUCAAAAUUGUAGAGAAUUUUAUUACUGGAGUGAAAAAAACAUUACGAAUCAGUAAAAUAAAGUAUCGUGAAGAAAUGAUAGAGAGGAAAAUUGAAACAAACCUUGAAAAAUAAGUGUGGUUGUAAGUAAGAUGCUGGAAGCAAUAGAGGGCUGAGAAAAGUGAGAGCUACAAUGAUUGUCGUGAUUGUAGAAAGAAACGUACAGAGAGAAUUGUUAGAAUACUCAAGUUUAUGGAGAGAAUUGAGAGGGUUUAGUGUUCCCAAAAAGAAGAAGGAAAAACACAUAUAUCAUAAUGAGGUUACACUCACGUCUUAUUUAUGGUAAGCAAAGCAUUACUUAUAUGGUUUCUGUUUAACGAGAAAGGGAAGAACUUGUAUUAGAGGAAAGUGUUAAGAAGUGUCUUCUUAACAAUGUCUGUGUUUUGAGCUUCCAAGAUAUGCACUUAAGGCAUCUCAAUAGAGGAGCAAUUCAAUAAUUAUACCAAUCUUUCGGGACUAACUCUACAACCUUUGCAUAGUUGCAAUCCAAGAAUCCUGCAACCUUCUAAGGCUAGCUACACAACAUUUACGUAUUUGCAUGUAUUUUUUUUUCCAUAACACCAACUCCAACAACUUCACUUUUAUUUAUCGAAAGAAAUUGUAUUUCUUGAAACUAUUAUUUACAAAAUAUUAUUAACCAAAAUCAAGUAUCCACAAUAAUUAAUACUAAUUAAUUCAAAGAUUUUCAAUGCUAAGAAUGGAACCCAAAUUCAGCCUUUGCUACUAACCUACUAAUAAACAAAAAAAAAAUAUAUAUAUAAUAUAUAUAGGUGAAGUUAGAAAGUUUAAAAUUGAAUUAUAAAUUUUUAAAAGAGUAAAAGUUGUUAUACUAACUUAAAAUUUUAUAACUUUUUAAUUUUGUGGAGCUAAAAUCUUUGCCUAUCCUCUAACAGUGCUCAGUAUUUCUCUCAUAAUUUUUUAUUUUUUAUUAUUCUUUUUCCUUUUUAGUUGAAAAUAGUGCUAAUUAAUGUUAUUUGUUAGUAUAAUUUUGUUAGAAUCUUAUGAAUCUUUCAUGAUGUACUAUAUCUUGAUUUGUUAGGCUAAUGUGAUAAUUUCUACUUCAUGUGUAUUAAUCCAUAAAUUUUAUCAAAAGUGGAAUUUUGAAAACUUAGUUUUGGAAGUUUGAAUAUUAAGUUUAACCUCCUGCUUUAGAUUUUGCAUUUUGGUUAAUUGGCUUGUGUUAUGUGUUUCUCUGGCAUCAGCCGAUAUGUGGAUUUGCCUCUCGUGAUGCACUACGAUUCAAGAAAGCCGCUGGGCAUAAGGAUUUGUUCUACAUUGAUGACAAAGAUGUGGAGUUUAAAGAAGUAAGAACUUAUCAACAAUAUUCGAGGUUCUGUUGUAUGUUGCCUUAUUAAAGAAGUCUUCACUUAAAUUCUUCUAUGUUGCCUUACGUAUGUAGGUUCUUGAGUCACCUUUGCCAAAAGCACCACAUGAUACAUCUGUUACAUCCCACUGGCUUGUGAUUGAAGGCAUUCAACCAGCAAUUCCAGAAAAUGCUUCAAUUGAAGGUACCGUCUUAGCUAACCUAAAUAUUCUCUCGAAGCUAUUUGUGUUGAAGACUCUCAUGGUUCAUGUUCUUUUCUGGUUUUAUCACUUUAAUCUAAUACGAUUAUCUUCAAUUCUACAUGGAAUUGGUUCUGAUGGUAAAAAGGCUGAAUACAAAGAAGAUGGGCUUUCCGUUGAUGUCAAAUUACCUGUUAAGCAUGUAUCAUCUAGAGAGCUUCAAGUAUGUUGUACAUCUUCAGCAACAUUUUUAUGUUAAAAUACAUUUUGCACAGAAUGAUAUUAAAAGACUAAUUUGGUUGUCAUGCAGCUUUACUUUGACAAGAUCGUGGACAUUACCAUGAAUAAAUCAGUCUCAGUUCUCUUUAAACAAGCAUUACUGAGUUUGGCAACAGACUCGGGAUUACAUCCUUUAGUUCCUUAUUUUACAUAUUUCAUUGCGGAUGAGGUUGUCUUAAAGAUCUUUGAUACCUCAUUAUAUAUGUGUGUUGCAAAGAACUUUUGGUUGGUUAUUUCAAGCUUACAUUUUUGCCACAUUUAACUCAGGUUGCACGGAAUUUGAAUAAUUUCCCUCUCAUGCUUGCUUUGAUGCGUGUUGCCCGGAGUCUUCUCCAGAAUGAACACUUACACAUAGAACCUUACGUGAGUUUAUUAUUUCAAUCAUUUAGAAGUACACGAACUAAUGCAAAUAUGCUAGUGGUUUAUUUUCCACCUAUCUGAUUUUUUAAAAUGUUCUUCAGUUACACCAGUUGAUGCCUUCUAUUAUUACCUGCCUCGUUGCAAAAAGGUUAGGAAAUAAAUUCACCGACAAUCAUUGGGAACUUAGAAACUUCGCAGCAAAGCUAGUGGCAUCAUUAUGCAAAAGGUGAAGAUUUCUUUUCUUUUGGACUUAUACAUGCAUUUUCGUUUUUAUGAAUUUCAGGUGUCUGAUUUUUGAGUUAUAAACUUGGAUCUAUUCUUCAAAUCAUGUGUAUAUCACUUUUAUGUUAUUUCACACAUGCAAAACAUAUGGUGCAAAUGAUGUUGAAGAAUUAGUGUUGUAUUUUCAUAAUUUCUUGGUCUGUAGACCGUUUUGCCUAUGGUGAAGGGUUGCAUUGGUAUGUGUCUGUCUUUAUUAUUGUACCAAUUCCUCUGUCUUUCAUUGCAUUUCGUACUAUCUGUAAUGUCUUCUUUCAUGACUUUCAAUUUAGUCUCGAUAAUCUUUGCUACUACUCAGUAAAGGAGAAAGGAGAACAAAAUGGCUCAAUGAUCUGUGUUGUAUUUUCAUAAUUUAUUUACAAGUUAGCAGUAAAAGGUUUGGUUAUAUGGAGAAAUAAUGUAUAGCAGAGUUGAAGGAAUGAUAUAAUGAAUUGAAACAUGGAACAAUGCAGACUGUAAAAGGGUACAUAUAGGUUGCUUUAAUUCCAAAAAUGGAAAUAGUAAUAUUCACUCCAAUUUAACCAAAAUAAACUUAUCAGAAUUCCAAGGUAACAAAACUGAUUAAUAUAAUAUACAGAAAUUAAUCAUAUAAAAAUUUAUAUUAUUACUUGAUAAUAUGAAUGACCAGUAUAAUAUAAAAGUAAGACAUGUUUUCUUUUCUUUUUCUAAAUUUAAUUUAGAACCAACUUUGAGUAAAGACUUGGGAAAUUGAAUUAGCAAAAUUUCUUUCCAUGUAGUUUUUUCUCCUAUUUCUUGUUUGAAUUUAGAGCAAUACAAAAUUUUGUGGCAAGUAAUAGAAAAUGACAGUCAAUUCAUUCCAAACAAUACAAAAUUUGCAGUGGAAUUCAUAUCUUUUAGGUAGCUUCAUUGAGGGCAUAAACAAGUUAGAAUUUGCAGUCUUAAUUUGUGUGGAAUUGAUAUGAAUGUAGUGGAUGCUGCAAAUUGUUGUUGAUUUGUGUGGAAUGACUGGACAUUCUUCUGCAAUUGUUAGAAAUUGGUGUUAUUAUUAUGGAGUUCAAAGGUUAAUAUUUGAUGCUUGCAGAUUUGAGGUGGAAUGUAGAUGAACUGAAGGCUGUUUUAACUUUUGUCUUAUAAGCUAUAUAUAAACAAAUAUUAUUUUAUCUUUUGCUUAUGAAAUGUUGAAAUAGUAAGUUUAUAUUCCUUGAUUAAUAAAAAGUGAGAUGGAGAUAGUCAAACCUCAAUUUCCACAUUGAAAUUGAAUCCAACCAUUCAUUGGUGGAUCGCAUAUCUUGUAUUUUGUCAAGUUAAAAGGGAGUGAAUAGAGCACCAUUUUCUUCUUCUGCGUGGAAAAUAAGUUGGCACUAUGCCAAAUUCCACAUUCAAACAUAUAAAGGAAGCAAGACCAAGUCAAUAUCAUCAACUCUAAUUAUUUCACUUCUUUCUUUAGGGAGUUCAAAUGGUGGCCCGGAAGGAGCGAAAAUGUCACCUAGAAAGAGGGUAUCACAUAUCAAAGCACGAAAGUCGUAAUAACAAUGUUAAAAACAAGGAAGAUUGAGCCAUCAACAGUGUUAUUGUGAAACCGGUCAUAAGUUAUCGCAAUACCCAAAACUCCCAAGUAUCCCCACGACUGUUGUGAAUAUCACGAUACCAAACUUUGGGUAUCACAAUAUCAUUGAUGAGAGGAGACAAAAUAUAACAGUAGGGGUAAUCCUUUUCCAACAUGUCCCCUAACCAAAAUUAGAUGAUCAAGGACAAUUUGGUCACUAUUUUUGGAUCUGUAAUUUGCUAGAAAGGGCAAAAAAUUGGCUGAACAAAAGGCAACACUUAACAUUUCAUGGUUUUCAAUUUUUCUCUUUAUUUUUAGAGUUUUAGUUUUCUUCUCCAUAACUCUAGGGUUUAAUUCAUGUUUUCUUUGAGUUUUUCUUGGUUCCAAUAAUAGUAGUUAGUUAAGUUAAUUAUCACUGUAGCUAGGAUUUAUUGGCUCGUUUAGUACCUUUAACUCUUUGUAUUUUCAGCUUAAUCCUUGGUUUUAAUAUAAAUAAAUUCCCUUCAUCAUUAAAAAUCUAUUUUUAGGGUUUUUUUUUACAUUUCCUUUGCUACCAUUGUAAUUGUUUUCAAGCUUUUCUCAUUUUUCUCAUGUUUUCUAGUUAUGCCUAUUUUGUGUGAUUGUUGUAUUUUUGUUUGUUUAAAUAUGAUUAUGGGUAACUAAAUCUGAAGUGAAAUUUGGCAUUAUGAAAAUGUCCAACAUUGCUUGUGGAUUAAUUCAUUAAUCCAUGUGUAUGUUUUAUUUAUUCAAAUGAUUAAUAGCUAACUUGAUCCUUAAAUUAUAGUUCAAAAAGUAUUUUUUAUAUUUUUAAAUUUUCAUAAAAAUAAUUGUAACAAAAUUUAAAAAUCUGAAAAUAAAUAAAAAUUUUAUAUAAAAAAUCAAUUGGUGCAAGAAAAAAAAAUUUCCAACUACUUUUUCCACAUCCAAUCUCAUAAAUAAUCAGUCUUUGAACUUUCACAAAAAAAUAUUAAAUACCCAUUUACUUUAAUUCUGCUCGUUUUUCAUUUGCUUUAUUGAUUUAUGCUCUCUUCAUAUUAUCUUUCUUUGCCUUUUUUUUUUCUUCCUUUUUCAUGUAGAUCUGCGUCGACUCUACUAUUCUUGGAUCAUUAUAAAUAUAAUAUAUGUUUUAUUUAUAGCUGAAAGUAAAACAUUGAGUUGAAAUUUGGCAAAAAAAAAAAACUGUGGGUUUGGAGAAGAAGAAGGGCACUUCAUAUUUAAAUUUAAAAAAUUUAAAAUUCCAAAAUCGAAAGUUAGUCAAAACCCUAAACAAUCUAAUAAUUGGGGUUGUAGAAAAGAAAUAUGGUUUUAGAAAUAAAUAAAACAAAAUAAAUUUGCAAAACAAUUUCUAGGCAAAACAGCAUUAAAUUAAGGAUUAAAAUAAUUUUUUUUUUAUAAAGCUUAGAGUGAAAUGAGUUUUUGGGAAACUGAAAAAAAAGUGAAAUGGGGAUGUUUGUACUAAUACACAUGGCAUUAUUGGACAGUAGACAAUAACUAAAAUGUUGCGUUAAUUUGUUUAUUGGACAAUCUUCUGCAAUGCUUAGAAAAUUUUAAUAUAUGUUUUAUUUUUAAAAUUUUAAAAUUUAAAAAUCAAUUAAUUGUUUGUAUGAUAUCGAUAUAUAUGUCUCGUCAAUAAAGUUAACAAAUGUUAAUUUUUUAAUCCAUUUUGGGAUGAUUAAAGAAGAAGAUGCAGUUUACCGGAUAGUUUUCUGGCAGCCAUACAUACUAAGUGAAUAGACACUCACAUUCUUUACGUAUUAUAAGGAAGAAGACUAAGUCAAUCUAUUUUGUAAUCUCAUCAAUGUUAAUUUUCUCAGUUGUUUAGGGAGUUCAAAUGAAAUACAAAAUUUUGGUAAAACAAUGUAUCCAAUUUUGGGAAUGAAAAAGAUAUGGUAAAAAGGAAGUGGUUGUUGAUGAGUAUUGAAAAAUAUAGGUUUUCAAUGUCAGCAUUUCAAACUCUUCCAAUAACAAUCUUUAUACCAUAAAAGAAACAACACUGUAACAGUGGUGUUGUGGUAUUAAUCAUCAGAUCUUUUGUUUAAUAUUGGAUUUUAUUUGUUGCCUAUAAAUACCAUUCCUAUCCUUCAUCUUCCUCUACAAACAUAACAUGGCCUCCUCUCUCUCUCUGCCUAUUCCUCUUCUUUCCCCAUCUUUAUGCUUCUUCUUCAGGAUCUCACUCCUGCUCUCACCUCGAAGCUGCUUCUCUAAUCCACUUCAAGAAUUCAUUUUCGAUCACUCAGACCGACCAUGCUGCUUUGUAUUGCGAUGAUUUUGCUAGCCUUAAAUCUUAUCCCAAGACAAAUUCAUGGAAGGAGGGUACAGAUUGCUGCUCAUGGGAUGGGGUCACUUGUGACCACCUAAAUGCUCAUGUUAUUGCCCUUGACUUGAGCUGCAGUUGGCUAUAUGGCACCUUCCCAUCCAAUACCACUCUCUUCCUUCUUCCUCACCUUCAAAAACUCAACCUUUCCUUCGAUGAUUUCAAUGAUUCCAAAACUCCAUCCGAGUUCGGUCGGUUUACAAGCGUAUUCUACCUCAACCUUUCUUAUACAUGGUUAAUUUGCUGGAGAAGUCCCAUCCCAAGUCUUCCACCUGUCAAAAUUGGUUUCACUUGAUCUCUCCUGUUGGGCUAAUGAACAAACAAUUGACAAACAUGCUGUGGAGGGACUUGUUCACAACCUAACCGAGGUCAGACAUCUGUUUUUGGAUGAAAUCAACAUGUCUUCUAUUAAUCCUCAUGUCUUCACGAAUCUAUCCUCUUCUCUAAGGUCUCUCAGUCUUUCUGGUUGAGAUUUGCAAGGAAAAUUCCCAAAAAAACAUUUUGAUUUGCCAAACCUCAAUUUCCUCAACUUGGGAGGCAACCAAAACCUGAAUCUUGAUCUUUUGAAGUUCAGCCGGAGCAGCAAUCUUGAACAUUUGGGUCUGUCGUGGAUAUCCUUCUCCACCGAAUUGAUUGAUUCAGUUGGUAAUCUACAGGCCUUAAAGUACUUAGAUCUAUCAGGCAAUUCUUUCUUUCAAAGAUUCUCUGUCUCAAUCACAAAUUUAUCAUCGUUAGAGUACUUGAUUAUUUCAGAAGCAAAUAUGUGUGGAGGAUUGCCUGACUCGAUGGGGAAUCUUGAAUCCUUGAAGUUUUUAGACUUGUCAUCGAACGAAUUGAGUGGACAAAUUCCAUUGUCAAUUCUAAACCUAACGCAACUUGAAUACUUGGAAAUAGCUAGAAAUUCAUUAGAAGGUUCCAUUCCAGAUGAAGUAACCGCUUUUCCUGAUCUAAUAUCUUUAAUCUUAAUUGAAAAUCUACUCAAUGGAAGAAUAUUGCAUUUCUUGACUUAAGCUCCAAUUUGAUCUGUGGAAAUCUUCCGAUUCCAGCUUCGACGAUCAGAGUCUUUCUGAUCUCAAAUAAUAGUUUCAAUGGAGAGGUCUCUUCUUUAAUAAGCAAUGCCAGUUCUCUUCGAAUUCUUGAUUUGUCCCACAAUAACUUGAGUGGAACAAUUCUGCAGUGUUUUGGAGAUUUGAGCAACUACCUUGAAUUCUUGAAUCUGAAUAAGAACAAGUUUUAUGGGACGAUUCCUCCAACAUUUGCAAAGGGAUGCCAAUUGAGUAAUUUUCAACUUAAAUGGAAAUAUGUUAGAAGGGCCUUUGACACCCUCCUUAAUUGUAAAGGUCUGGAAGUGCUAGAUCUGGGUAACACCAAGAUCAAUGAUACAUUUCCUCAUUGGUUGGGAAGUCUUCCUCAUAAAGAAUGAGACGGAUGAACACAGAAGCGGAUCAUAAAUUUUGUCUAAGUCGUGAAUUUGACUUAGGGCACUAGACGUUUGGAAAGAAAUUUAGAUUUUGACAAAACCUAAAAUAAAAUCAAAUCAAAAUUAAAUAAAUCAAUUAAAAUAAAUAACUAAAAUAAAAAAAUAAAUCAAAGAUUACAAAUAAUAAGGAAAGAAUAAAGAAAAUAAAUAGAAAGAUAAAAUGUAAGUCUUAAGAAGACUUAGAAACACGAAGAAUCCACAACCCCAUUCAAGCAGCUCUAAUUUCACCACCAAGAUAGAAAUCUUGGCAAGAAAAAGUUAGAAGAUUAUCCCCACAAUUUGAAAAGUUUGUUAAAACUCUUCUAAAAGAACAAGAGAAAUUCUUGAAAAAAAAAAACAAAGAGAGGAUUUAUUAACUUAAAGAGAAAUAGAAUAAUAAUGAAUUGUGUGAAUUGUGUACAAUGCAAAGGCCUAUAUAUAGGCUAGCUAAAUAAAUCUAAAUAAAAGUAUACUAGAACUCUAAUUUAAUUUAAACAAAAAGUAGUUUUAAACUAAAUUUUCUUGUUAACAUAAAAUACUUAAUAAUUAUAAAAAAUUUGAAAUAAAAUAAUAAUAAAAUAAUAAGAGCUGAUAAAUACAAUAUUGGGAUCAUAUAUAAUAAAAAUUAAGUCUAAAACCCGAACCCAAUAUGAUUUAAACUUGAAUUAAAAGCUCAAAAUUUGUAAUUCCUAUCGUAAUCCCGUUCAGAAAUUUUGCUCAUGCAGUUCUCAUUAAAAUUGUCAUAACUUGAGCUCCCUAACUCAAAAUCAAGUGAUUCAAAAUGCAUUUAGAAGCUAAGAGAUAUAUCUUCAAACACGAUGAGAUAUCUUAACUCGGAAAUUUCAAGAUCCUAUCCAAAAAGUCGUCACAAGUCUAUUAAUUUCCAAAGCCUAAAAAUUGGAAGCUUUGCUGAUUGGAAUUUAAUAAAUUUCACUCCAUCCAUGCAUGUAUCAUUCUCCUUUUCCUAAAAAAGAUUCAUCCUUGAAUAUUGUAUUUGAUCGAAUUCUGAUUUGAUUGCUUAGCCUUUGACAUUGUUGUUGGACCUUGAGGUACUGUAAACCCAUUACAUUCAUGGGUUUGAAAUUGUGCCUUGAGACUCACAUCAUUCCCCUUUUCCUCUAGAAGGUUCGUCCCUAAAUCUUUAGCUUUUUCCCACAAGUAAAAUCGUCUAUAAAUGAUAGAGUAAUAUAAUUGAGAGUCCAUUAAUGGAUCCUUGAAAUCCUGUAACAAAGAAACACCACUAAACAAAUUUAAGUUAGAGUUAGUUAAAACAUAAUCAUUCCUCAAUUUUUUAUGAGUAUUUUCUUGCUUUUUAUUUUCUUUUUUCACUUGAGAUCUCUCCAAUUUUACCUCAUAUGAAUUUUACUUACCAAAUUUGGACCAUUAAGUAGACUUUUAUCACUAAAGGUCUCUUUUCUCUCUGUCUUUCCACAUGAUUUUUCCUCACUUCUCAUGUCCCCCUCACAAGUAUUAUGAAUAUUCAAUUCAGUACAAUAUAUAUCAGUAGGAGAACAUUACGUUUCUAUUUCAUCUAACUCUAUAGAUCCAGGGAAAAAAAUUUCGUUAUCACUUUUUUCUAGUUCACAAAGUUCACCAUCUUCUUUGAUCAACGAAAGUCUCGUGUUGGCACAAUCACGACUAUAAUGUCCACUCCCUUUACACGUAAAACAUUCAAUGUUACAAUGUUAAGAGCUCUUUGUUGUUUUGGUGAAAAAUUAAUAGAAUUGAGUUGCUUGAAAGAUGUAGAAGAAUGUUUUGUAGGAGCCUCACUUUUCCACUCAAAAGGUUUAGUCUCAACAUGUUUUGGCAGCAACUUAUUAGUAGCAUAAGAAUGUUUCAAAUUCUUGAAAGUAGAAUUAGAACUUGUACCUCGAUAAUAGUGUGAUGCGCCAAAUGGACGAGAUUGAUGUUGCUGAGAUUGUUGCUCAAUCUCAAUUUCCUUGUGUCCUAUCUCCUCAAGAUCAAUGUAAGUUUGAAGAUUAAGAGCAUUGGCUACCAAAAUGUUCGCACCAUGGUAGUUUCUUCAUCCUCUUGUAUAUUUGCUCUUUGCAUAAACAUCUCCAUCUCCUUAAAAUAUUCAUCAACAGAUUGAUUACCUUGAAUAAGGCGUUGAAGUCUCGUUGAGAUCUCUCUCUAUUAAUGAGAAGGAAUGUAAUGUCUUCGCAUCAUUUGCUUCAACUUAUCCUAUGUUUCAAUUACCCUUUCGUGGUUUCUUUGACAAUCAAUUCCAAGUUGAGUCCACCAACUCAACGCAUAAUCUGAAAAUCAAAGGGCCGCCAAUUGAACUUUUUCCUCUUCCUAGCAUUUAUAGUAGCGAAACAUAAGUUCAAUUUUUGAUUCUCACUCACAAUAUGCUUCGGGAUCAUACUUUACACGAAAUGGUGAAAUGUUGAUCUUCGGUUUAGCUAAAAAAUGUUGCCUAUGGUCAUUAUUAACCAAAGUCUCGUCAUUUGCAUGAGAGACACGUUGAGCAUUAUUUGCAAAAAGACGAGGCUAAUCAUCCUUAUCUUCUCAAUUACGAUUCUGACACUCAAUUUUAGUAUGUAGACGUUCUAAAUUUUUGCUAAUUGUGUCUAGAAUAGUGUCACGUUACUGAUCUCUAGCAUUUUGAACCUCUUAAUCCCUUCUCAACUUCCUAGUCAUAGUAUUGUGAAACAUUAUGAAAGCCUAAAAAGAACACAACACUCAAGAAAGGAAAAAUUAAGCAAACCUCACUGUUAUGCACUCAGAAAAAAAAAACCAAAUUCUCAAUGAGGUUAGAAUUAAUCUUGUGAGUCUUUUAAAAAGUGUCUAUAUCAAUUAGUCAGAAUGUAUUUGAAUCAAACUAUCAAAGCAAACUUAAUAGCAUUAUGAGUCAAUGAAAAUUGUUGAAACUCGAAAACCUGAAAAUUUACGAAGCAAAUUGACAAACUCCUUUUGAGGUGUUUCCAAUUUCCAAAAAUCACAAAAUUUAAAUUGGAACCUUCUAAAAUAAUGUAGAUUUGACCUGGAAAGUUUUGGCACAAAAUUCAACCCAUAGAAUAUUUUUUUAUUUUUUAUUUUUUUCAUAUUUUAUUUUAUUUUUUCACUUUUUCAAUCACUUUUUUUGUGGGAAAUACUUUUUUAUACUCUAAAAUAGUGUCAAGAAAUAGUAUGUAAAAUUUGAAAUCAUUUGAAAAUCAUUUACCGACAAAAAUAUUUUUUUUCAAAAACUGUCGGGGUAAAAAAAUUAUUUAAUUUGAGUCUGUUUCCCAGAAAUCAGUUUAUAAAAAUGAAAAGAACACCUAAAACGUCCACAUCUGAUACCAAAUGAUAAAGAAUGAGAUGGAUGAACAUGGAAGUGGAUCGUAAAAUUUGUCAAAGUCAUGGACUUGACUUAGGGCCCUAAAUGUUCGAAAAGAAAUUUAGAUUUUGACAUAACCUAAAACGAAAUCGAAUCCAAGUAAGAUAAAACAAAAUUUAUACAUGUAUAUUUUUUACACCAUAACAUAUAUAAGAUAUAAAAAUGGUAAAUUUAUAUUUGCAUUAUUGGUUUUGGUCAUUUUCUUGAAGCAGCUUGGAUCAGUGAUGUGAUCCCUUAGCACCCAAAAAAACCCAAUUAGACCUUUACCCAUUAGCCUAUCUCAACUUCCUCUUCAAUCCAGCACUCAGUCUACCCCAUGCCAGAAAACAUUUACAAACAUGGUUCCUCUUGCAUCCACACAAAUUUAAUGAAAGUUAAAUAUACAAAAUAUAAUAACUAAAUUUUUGAACAAGUGAGGAUUUUCUAUCCUACCAAACACUCUUCAGUUCCUUUAUUCCAUGGAAGCAUCUUUUUAGUUAUUUUUCCCCCCUUGGCAGCUAAUUCAAAGUUUCAACUUGAGCAGUUCUUAAAAGGAAAAUGUCAUUCCCCAUAGGUCUUUGCUAGAGGCAGGUAGAGGAGGCAAUGUUUUUUGGGCAUGGAGUAGCUUGUUAAAGAGGAGAUAUCACAAGGCAAAUUAUAUGUGUAUGAGAAUGAAACAGAGAAACAUAUAUGUAAAUAUGGAGUGAAAACUUGGUUCCAAAUCAGAUAAGGCAAAAGCCAAAUCAUGUAGGAUUGGUGGAGAGUGAACCUUUGAAGCAUUGUAUGUGGCCACCCACGUAGUCUACUAUUUAUGUUAUGUCACGACAAAAACAGCAUCCUCCUUUGUCUUUGAAAUUCGACAUUACUAAUGGAGUUCUUUUUGCACACAUGCAUUCUAUUUAUUAUUUUGAAUACAAUUCUAAUCUAGAUUUUUGGCUUUACAUUUUUUUAUUUAAUCAUCAAGUAGUCCAUGUUCUUUAAUUUUUUUUUAAAAAACUAAGUUGCAUUUCCUUUUUUUUUUUAAAUGAACGAUAUAUUGAAAUCAUUAUUGAAAUUAUAAUCAAAAUUAAUACAUGUUCUUUUUAUUAGCUUAAGGGCGUAAAAACCCUUCAAAAUUUUUAAAAAAAAAACAAGAACAAUAGCUAAGGGACCCGAUACUACCACUUGGAUCUGGAACCUACAUGCCGAUGCUCACGAUUUCGAUAGCCAUACCUGUGAUUUGGAGGAGAUCUCUCGCAAAAUAUUUAGUGCCCAUUUCGGCCAACUCUCCAUCAUCUUUCUUUGGCUGAACGGCAUGUAUUUCCAUGGUGCUCGUUUUUCCAAUUAUGAAGCAUGGCUCAACGAUCAUACUCACAUUGGACCUAGCGCCUAGGUGGUUUGGCCAAUAUAUAGUGGGCCAAGAAAUCUUGAAUGGCGAUGUGGGUGGGGGUUUCCGAGGAAUACAAAUAACCUCUGAUUUUUUUCAGAUUUGGUGAGCAUCUAGAAUAACUAGUGAAUUACAACUCUAUUGUAGAAAAAAAAUUUAAGUCCCCCUUUUUUUUACACUUAAUUGAGCAUUCAAACUUUUUAAAUGUAUCAAAAAUAUCUUUACACUUCUUAAAAAAAGCAAUUAAAUUCCUAUUUUUUUCUGCUCAAUUGGGUACUUGAACUUUCAUAAUGCAUCAAAAAGAUCUUAAUUUUUUUUUCAAAGAAACAAUUAAGCCUUUAUUUUUUUUCCCACUCAAUUGGGUACUUGAACUUUCAUAAUGCAUCAAAAAGGCCUUAAAUUUUUUUCAAAAAAGCAAUUAAGCCCCUUCUCUUAUUAAAAAUUAGAAAAAAAUAUCAUAAAAAUAAAAAAAAUUUAGAAAAAAUUACUAAAUUUUAAUACAAAUUUAAAAAUUAUUAAAAAUUAGAAAAAAAUUUUAGAAAAAUCAUCAAAAAAAUAAAAAAAAAUUAUAAAAUUUUAUAAAAAUCAUAAAAAUAUAAAAUCCAUCAAAAAGUCCUUUUAACAAUUAACUUUAACUAUUGGUCGUUAAAGUUAACAACCUCUAGUUUUUUCAAUUAAAGUCAUUAUGUCUCGCAACUCAGCGUGACAUGUAGCGAAAACAGAUAAAAAAGUAAAAAUCAAUAAAAGUUAUAGAAAAAUUAUCAAAUAUUUCUUUUGGUACAAUAAUUUUUAUAAUUUUUUUUUACAAAAUUUAUAUUUCUUUACAUUUUGUAUAAUUUUCUUAUGACUUUAUAAAAUUUUAUAAUUUUUUUAUAAUUCUAUAUAUUUUUAAAAUUUUUUUAAAAUUUUUAUAAAAUUUCACAAUUUUUAUAAAUUUUUUAAUAAAUUUUUAAUAUUUGAAUGUUUUAUAAAAAUUUAAUAAUAUUAUAGAUUUUAUUGAUUUUAAUUUUUUCUCUAAUUUUUAAUAAAAGUAGGGGCUUAAUUGCUUCUUCUUCUUUUUUUUAAGUUUGAGAGUGUUUUUGAUGCAUUUUGAAAGUUCAAGUACCCAAUUGAGUGCAAAAAAAAAAGUAGGGGCUUAAUUGCUUUUUUUGAAAAUGUUUGAGGGCCUUUUUGAUGUAUCAAAUGAAAUACAAAUUUUGAGUAAAUCAGGUACUCAUUUUUAUGAAUAAAAAUUAUAUGAAAAGGAAGUAGUGUUAAUAAUAAUAAUAAAAAGAUCAACAAUAGAAAACUAAUAAAGUAAUUUAGCCUAUGAUCUGUGCAAUAUAUUACUACAAAUGUACCGUACAAAAUAUUGAAAGAAAACUAAUAAAGAAAUCUGAAAUUUUAACAUGUUCCGCAAAUAAUGUUUAUGAUUUGCUGUAAAUUGAUAUGUCAAAUUAGGCUCUCCAUCAUACUUAAAAUUUUAUUUUCGAGCAAUUUAGAUAUCUUUGUUGCGUUUUUAUUUUGUUUUAGUUCUUUAUAUUAAUAAAUGAUUAGUGUGCAUUUUGAUGCUAUUUUAAGACCUGAGAUGGCCAAAUGGCACCCGGGGAAUCUAAUGAGGUUGGUGAGUGAUGCAGAGAGCCCAUGGUGGCCCGGAAGGAGCGAAAAUGUUACCUAGAAAGAGGGUAUCGCAUAUCAAAGCAUGAAAGUCAUAAUACCCAUAACAAUGUUAAAAACAAGGAAGAUUGAGCCAUCAACAGUGUUAUCGUGAUACCGGUCAUAAGAUAUCGCGAUACCCAAAACUCCCAAGGAUCCCUAAGACUAGAUAUCGCGAUACCAAACUUUGGGUAUCACAAUAUCAUUGAUGAGAGGAGACAAAAUAUAACGGUAGGGGUAAUCCUUUUCCAACAUGUGGAAUGGCCAUGGGAUGUGCUGUUUUCCAAACCGGUAAGGCGAAAAGGUUGGUGAAUUUGGCUGAAGACCAACAUGAGAAGAGGCGAAGAAGAAAGCCAAAAUAUAGCAAUCGCAUCAAUGGAUGAAGAAGGAUCUAGUUGGUUCAAAUGAAGUUAAAGCAUUUCUGCUGUGUCUUCAUAAUUUCUUGUUUAGUAGUCUGUCAGAAAGGUUUUCCUAUGGUGAAAAGUUGCAUUGGUAUGUGUCUGUUUUUAUGAUUGUACCAAUUCCUCUGUAAUUCAUUGCAUUUCGUACUAUUUGUAAGGGUUUAGUUCGAGUGUAACAUCUUGUAUGGUGCAACUAUGUAUGUCUUCUUACUUGAAUUUCAAUUUUUAGUAAACAUUAUACUGCUAUCACCAUAAAAAAAAUACAUGUAGAAUUACAAAAGAUUCAAUUAUUCAAGUUUGAGUUGCAUUUAUAAACAUGUGAUGAUGAGAAUUCAUGAACAAAAGGUAUGGUUUGAGCCCUUUCGCCGUAUGCGUUUAUGUUGCAUUUACCUAUAUAUCUAUCGACAAAUUUAAGAGUAAUAUUUACAAUAGCAUUGCAGAGUAACAUAUUUAAGAUUGGAUUACACUAUCAAAAGAUUGCAGCAACGAUGAGAUUAAUCCAAUUACAAGAAUUGAUAUCCUAAAUGGCUUUUAGGUACGUAGCUUCAUUGACGGUACAAACGAGUUAAAAUUUCCAGCAUUCAUGUCUUUGUUUUCCCUCAAGUAAACGUAGUCAAUACUGCAAAUGGUGUGGAAGUAUUGUACAUUGUGGCCCAAAUGUCCAAAAUUUCCACAUUGCUUGUAAAUUAAGUGAUGAAAACCAAAACUGUUUGAGGCAUCCAAUUACCCACAGAGAUAGGAAGUAAGGACGCAUGUAUAAUUAUUACCAUUAAUUAAAGCAUAUAUAAUUACAUUAAAUAUAUCACUUUUAUUUACCUCAUAUUACAUUUUAGUCACUUAUACUUGAAAUGUUACAUUUUGGUCACUUACAUUAUCGUUUUGGUACGAAGUGGUCACUCUACCGUUAAGCUCUGUUUCCUCCCUAAUGGCGAUUCUACGUGAUAGUCCAAAUGGGUUUUAAAUGCCAACUUAAAUGUUUUGCGUGGCUAUCCAAAUUAAAUUUAUUUAAUUAAAAACCUAUUUUCAUCUCAGCAACCGGACAUUCAAGUUCGCAUUUAAAACCCAUUUAGACUGCCACGUAGGACUGCCGUUAGGGAGGUAACGGAGUUUGACAGUAGAGUAACCACUUCGUAACAAAACGGUAAUGUAAGUGGCUAAAACGUAACAUUUCAAACAUAAGUGAUUAAAAUAUAAUAUAAGGUAAACAAACCUUAAAUAUAUAAAUUACUACGAUUACUAUCAAGAUAGCAUUGACCUGUUCAACAGGCGGAACCAAUAGAUCUAACCAUUUGGUGACUCUAGCAGUCGACAAGUGUGAGUGGCAGAUUGUGCAACUUGUGGCAAUAGCAAAUGGUUCCAAGACGAGGUGGGACACGGAGGCUUUGUGUAACAGGGGAAUAGAUGCACUCAAUGCUGGCGGCUGUUGGCUUGUAUUUCUCUCUAACAAUUUAAAUCACCAGCUUGCUUCAUCCAUCUAUAAAUAAGGGUCUUCUUCAGUUUCAUAAAUGCAUAGAAAAUUAACAAGCUCAAAUUCCUUCUUUUCAUAUUCAUCUCUUUCAUUUUGAAUUGCAACUUUAUCCUGCCUAAAUUCCUCAACAAUGAACCACCCAUCAGGACAGCCUCAAAAUGAACUUCCUUGGUCCGCCGGAUUCUGAGAUUGUUGCUCUGACCUGAAAACUUGUAACCCUUUCUUCUUUCUUCAAUAUCAGUUGUGUCUUUUUAAUUAUAUGAAUUAGUUUAUCAAUUAAAUAUAUGGACAUUUCAGGUUGCAUUUCAUACUGGUGCCCAUGCAUCACCUUUGGCCAGAUUGCUGAGAUUGUUGAUAAAGGGUCGACUUGUAAGUUAUUAAUUUCUAAAUUGAAAUCUUAUCAUCUUAGGUUUGCAGACAUAUAUAUAUUUAAAGAGAUAUUAUGUAAUUAAUAAUAAUGUUGAAAAACACUGUUGGAUGGUGCAGCAUGUGGGGCAAGUGGGGCAGUAUACACAUUAAUAAUGUUCAUCACCGGGUGUGGGUGCUUAUAUUCUUGCUGCUACCGAUCCAAACUGAGAAAGCAGUAUAACUUGAAAGGAGGCCAUUGUGGCGAUUGCAUGCGUCAUUUCUGCUGCGAGCCUUGUGCUUUGACACAAGAGUAUCGUGAGCUCCAGAACCGUGGAUUCGACAUGUCUAUCGGUAUGUCUACAUACCAAUAUUAUACCCCUUUUAAUUAUUCUUAAUAUAACUUCAAGUAUAUUAAUUGAGUAGCUGUAAACAAAUAUCUCCGAAUAAAUAUGUUAGUAAUGAUGAGAUAAAUUAUUGUUUGAGGUCAUUAAUUUUGUGGGGGUAUAUUUAUAUAUGCAGGUUGGCAUGCAAAUGUGGGAAGAACCCAGGGCUGGCAAUGGCUCCAGCGGUAGAAAAAGGCAUGAGCAAAUAGAUGAUGAUGAUGAUCGCUGCAUUAAUAUCGUCUUUAUAUGUAACACUUAAUUCCUUUGCUUUCCAUAAUUGGUGCCAAUUGGAUUUCAAGUUAUGUAUGUUUGUGAUUGUCAAAAUGUGACUCUGUUAAAUAGUAAAUAGCAUUUUUUAAAAGGGUUCAUAUAUAUCGUGAUACCUAAAGUUGGCAACUUCUACUUAGUAUCAAAAUCGGUACAUAAACUUGAAAAUUGUAAGUCAACUUGGUAUUUUUAUAAGUAUGAUGAUGUUGGUGUAGUGUGAGGAAGAAGACUUGAAUGGGUUUGAUUAUUUUUAAUAAUACAGGAAUUUACGUAUUAUAAGUAAAUAGACACUCAGAUUCUUUAUGUAUUAUAAGGAAGAAGACUAAGUCAAUCUACUUUGUAAUCUCAUCAAUCUUAAUUUUCUCAAUUGUUCAGGGAGUUCAAAUGAAAUACAAAAUUUUGGUAAAAAAAUGUAUCCAAUUUUGUGAAUGAAAAAUAUAUGGUAAAAAAGAUUUGGUAUCAAUACUUCGGCGCGGGUAUCAAUACUCGAUACAUUGCUUUUGGUUGGAAAGUAGUGUUUGGAAUGGCCAUGGGAUGUGUUGUUUUCCAAACCGGUAAGGCGAAAAGGUUUGUGAAUUUAGUUGAAGACCAACAUGAGAAGAGGCGAAGAAGAAAACCAAAAUAUAGCAAUCGCAUCAAUGGAUGAAGAAGGAUCUAGUUGGUGCAAAUGAAGUUAAAGCCUUUCUGCUGUGUCUUCAUAAUUUCUUGUUUAGUAGUCUGUCAGAAAGUUUUUCCUAUGGUGAAAAGUUGCAUUGGUAUGUGUCUGUCUUUAUGAUUGUACCAAUUCCUCUGUAUUUCAUUGCAUUUUGUACUAUUUGUAAGGGUUUAGUUCGAGUGUAACAUCUUGUAUGGUGCAACUAUGUAUGUCUUCUUUCUUGAAUUUCAAUUUUUAGUAAACAUUAUACUGCUCACCAUAAAAAAAGAUACAUGAAGAAUUACAAAAGAUUCAAUUAUUCAAGUUCGAGUUGCAUUUAUAAACACGUGAUGAUGAUGAGAAUUCAUGAACAUAAGGUAUGGUUUGAGCCCUUUUGCCAUAUGCAUUUAUGUUGCAGGCGUUCAAACAUGGAAUAAUUCAACCUGCCUUUGUGUAUUCUUAAUUUUGUGCCAAACCUAUAUAUCUAUCGACAAAUUUAAGAGUCAUAUUUACAAUAGCAUUGCAGAGUAACAUAUUUAAGAUUGGAUUACACUGUCAAAAGAUUGCAGCAACGAUGAGAUUAAUUCAAUUACAGGAAUUGGUAUCCUAAAUGGCUUUUAGGUACGUAGCUUCAUUGACGGUACAAACUAGUUAAAAUUUCCAGCAUUCAUGUCUUUGUUUUCCCUCAAGUAAACGUAGUCAAUACUGCAAAUGGUGUGGAAGUAUUGUACAUUGUGGCGCAAAUGUCCAAAAUUUCCCCAUUGCUUGUAAAUUAAGUUUGGGUGAGAGAGAUGGGAGGAAGCAACAGCAAGUGUGAAGUCAAUAGACAAUUGAUAGUCUUAGCCCUUUUUGUGGAGUUAAAGUGUAGUCAAAUAUAGACAAUUGAUAGUCUUUAUUCUUUUGUGUGGAAAAUUAUUUGGGACCAAACUUGACGUGUUAUAAGGAAGAAGACUUCGUAAUCUCAUGAAUGUUAAUUAUUUUACUUCUUUGGUAAAAAAAAGUAAUUAAUUUUAUGAAUGAAAAAUAUAUGGUAAAGAGGAAGUAGUUGUUGAUCACUUUCAAAGAUAAUAAAAAAAAUAUUAUUUAAAAAUCAAUUGAAAUUAUUAUUUUAAAGGGAAAACUCUUUGGAGAAGAUGAUCAUUUGCUUAAAUGGAGAAUAUAAUAUAUAUUUUUGGUUAUGUAAGUUUAGUAUUUACUUCUUCUUUAUUAUUCAUAUUUAGUUUUUUUAAAAUUUAAUUUAAUUAUUUUAUUUAGUUUUUCACAUAAUGUUAUUUUAUACAUGCGGACUUGAUGAAUUAAAAAAAAAAUUACGUGUCAAAUUUUGAUUGGUUGGUCUAAUAAUUCAUUAACGGUGUUAAUAUUAAGUACCAUAACAAAACAUAUAUUGAUAGUUCACGUACCACAUUAGACAUUUUUAAAGUACAAAUACUACAUUAGACAUUUUAUAAAAAGUACAUGUACUAUGAUAGAACGUACAUAUUAAUAAUUCAAGUACCACAUUAAACAUUCUAUGAAAGUACCGUUACGAAAUGUGAAAUUAUCUCUUACAAGUAUUUGAUGAAUAGGUAUAUAAGGACAACCAGAACGACAAUUCCAAUGACAGCUAAAGGCAUGCACAUACACGACCAUCCGCCAUUGAUGUGCUUGUUCAGAAUUCUCGUGUUUUUCUGCACUCUCUGAUACAACAAAGAAAAAAAAACACAAUACAAAAUUAAAACUUUUCUGGCCAGAAAUGAUCCGAAAAUUUUAAGGGUAAACUAUAUUAGUAGUCACCCAGCUAUUAAUAAAUUUCUUUCUUAGUUACUUGACUAUGAAAAGAUAUUUUUGUAUAUUUUCGAGUUUCAAAGACAUCAACCGUUCUAGCUCAGGCUUGGAAGGAAGACACAGACCCGGGGAACUUGUUAGCAUCAUUUUUUGAAAUUUUUGGUGAAGUAUGUUAUCAUUUACUCCCAAACCUGAGCUUUCAUUCUUCCUUUGAUUAAAUUUCACCUCUAAAAGCUAUGGUUUUUGAAGGAAUUUGUGUAAAUUAUCCCCAUAGUUUUUUUCAGUCUUACUGUGUUUAUCUUUAUAAGUCUUCUUUUUUUCCUUGCUCAUAAAUGUAUUGUAGUUAUCAAAAAAUAUAUUCUACUUUAGAUUUUAUUUAUAUUAAAUUUUAGGUUAAAUUCUGCUAUUAGUCUCUGUACUUUACGAAAAUGAUAGAUUUUGUCCUUAU